CGUAAGUGAAUGAUUAUGCUUUAAAUUUUUGGCCAACUUUGUAGGGUGUAUAGACCAUAUGCUUCAUAGUCCAAAAACUACAUAUUACUGAAAACAUUAUGCAAGUAUUGUGUUUAGUUAAGUUUGUAGAGUGUGCAUGUAUGAUUUAUAAUCUAUAAGCUUUAAUAAUUAUGAUUGAAAUUAUAUGCAGGUAUGUUGAUCCUAAUGAUCCUACGAAAAUAUUUCUGCAACAACCCAAUUCUGAUUCUCAGCUUAGGCGUCGAACAUAUCAGCCUCAGGCAGAUGGAGGCCAUGUCUGAAUCUGAAACUAAACUACACUGUCAUCACUCUUUAUCGUACGAUGUUUAUAUGGGAAUUGUGUGUUAAUAUCAAAAUCAAUAAAAAUUAUAUGACAGACUAAGUGUGUGCUUGGAUGUAAAGUUUGUAGAAUCAUGCUUUUUAUUUGGAUAGAUAUUAGAAAAGUCAUUUUCGGAGAAUAUAUUUUUAAUACUUAAAAAUCAAAAUUAAAGGAGUGUGCAAUUACUAAAAUGGAUUUUGAUUCCUAUGGACAGUUCUUUAUUAUUAUAAUUAGCUAUUUUAAUAUAUAUAUAUAUAUAUAUAACAAAUUAAAGAUAAAAAAAGUUGCUCAACUGUAUUAAAUGUAUUAAAGAGAUUGUGUAAACAUUGAUGUAAUAGUUUAGGGAAAUAUUGACAGUGACCUAUGCAAAUUUAAAAGUUUUUUUUUAUAAAAUAAUAUAUAAUGUUUUUAAGAUAAUAAUGUUAAUUUAUUAUCAAAAGGCUUGCAAAUAAGAAAUUCACUCAAUCUCAUGAAGGAAAUACCUUACUAAAAUUUAAUUAUAUUUAAUAUGUAAUAAUGAUCUUUUAUAUUUUUAUAAGAGAAUAAAUCAUAUCACUUGGAUUUCUUUAUUUUUGUCAAAAGUGAGAGAUAUAAUAUACUGAUAAAAGAAAGAUAAGGAGAAUAUUUUAUCUCAUAAAUCAAGAAAAUUAGUAAAAUGUAUUAAAUUACAAUUAAUGUAUGAUAACAAAUUAAUUUUAUUUUAUAUUUGCAAGGAAGUAUAUGAUACCUCUUGUUGACUUGAAACAAAGACCAAGUUUCAAGGAUUCAAGGUCUUUUAACAACUAAUAUUCGAAGAGAAAAAGAAAAUAAGCAUGAAUGUUAAACAAAGAACAAUAAACUUUCUAGCUUUGAAUAAGUUUUACUCUGAACACAAGUUUUGUGUAUAUUCUAUGUAAACAAUUCACAAUGAGUAUUCAAUUUCAUAUAUUUUUUUAACGAAGUUAACUUAGUCAAAAUGUUUAUGUCAUGUUGGAAAUUACUACUCUAUAAAUAAUACUUGUGAAAAUUCAAAAGAUUAUUUUACAAAGAAUACUAGUAAGUUUAAAAUGUUAAAAAUUACCAUGAAAAUAAUAUUUGAUAAGUGAGUAUCAAGUGAACUCGGUUUUUUUGUUUUAUAUUAUUAUAUUUUAAUCAAUAAUAGUUAAAUAGGUGUAAUAAAAUUAUUUGUUUAAAAUUUCUACACUUUUAAGUUAUUAUGGGUUGUACAUUCGAAUAAGGUUGAGAUAUAUUGAUUCAAUAGACCUAUUAUUUGUUAGUAUAAAUAAUAAUGUAUUUAAUAUUUAGUUUAGUAGGUAGAGAUAUUUUAAAUUUGCAAGUAUACUCAUCCUUCAUUCGUCUAACCAUGAAGUCGUGACCCUAUACUAUUGUUGAUUGUAAUAUUGAGAAGUCGAGAAGAUCCACCAAAGAGUAAGAGAUCGAGAAGAAUAUAAAUUGAACUUAUUUGUAUUUCAGUCCGAUAAGAACAUAAAGCUUAAACAAUUAUUUCUAAACAAAUCUUGAAAUUCUUAAACAAAUCUUGAAAUUCUUAGUAAAGAACAAGUAAUAAUAAUAUAUUCAAUAAAAUAAAAUAACAUUUGAAAAUUACUAAGCAAUUUAUUAUGAGUAGUGAGUAUGAAAGAUUUUUUAAUUAAUCAUUUCUCGAGUUAUGAUAAAUCUUAGUUAUGAAGUUAUUGAUGUAAUUUUUUAUUAUUUAAAAUUAAUUUAUAAAAGCUUUUAGUUUUCUUUUAAAUAAAAUAAGUGAAAAAGUUUAGAAAGAAUAUAAUUUAAUACAUUUACACUGACAUUUGGCAUUUAAUAUCUUGUGUCAUGUUACGAUAUUCAUCAUUUUAAACCGUGUUGGAUAAUUUCAUAUUGUUAAAAAUGAAGAAAUUGAAAGAAUUUAAGAAAAUAUUGGUGUAAUGCCUUUGGAAACUUUACAUUAAAGGAUAUUAUUGUGUAAUAUUUCAAAGUGAGUUAAUUUUUCUAGGGAAAGUGAAUAGUUUUGAUAAAAUGAAUGGUUAAAAACUGUAUAAAAUCAAUUUGUCAAUUAUAUAAAAUAAAAUUUUAUCAAUUGCUAAUUAAUGGACUAAUUGUUAGAAAUUGUUCAAAUAUAAUUUUGGUAAAAUUAACUGUAUAAAUUAUUCAUACUAUGCAGCAUAUAUCAUAUAAAAAAAAUUAGCAUUGAAUCUAUUUAGUUUAUUAACAUAUUUUUAAAAUUAUACUAUUAAAUAUAAGUUUGAUUGGAGAUUUGUUUUAAUUAGGAUGAGAAUAAAGAAAAAUAAAGAAAGAAAGACAAUGAAAAAAUGAAACUGUUUGAAUUGAAAAAAAAAAUAAAAAAAAAAGAUAAUAAUGAGUGAAAAUUUUAUAGUAAAUUAGACUGAUGUGAUAGAAAAAAGUUAAAUUAACUAUUUAAUAUAAUCCAUUACUAAGAUUAUCUAGGUUGAAUUUUAAUAAGAAUAAAUAUAAAUUAAAAUGGAAAGAUAGAUUAAUUAUGAAGUAAUUAAUUUAGGAAAAAUAAUUCAUAUUAAAAACUUAUUUAAAUUUUAAAAUUAAAUAUAAAUAAAUAAUUUCAUAUUUUUUCACAUAUGAAUUUAAAAAGGUAAAAGUGUAAUAACAAUUUUUCCAAUUAAAAAAUGAGAGUUGUAUACUAAAUUUAAACAUGUCAAAUAUCACGAGUCUUAUUAAUAAGUUUUGUGAAACUAUUUUUUCAUUCAAAUAUAAUUUUAAGAAAUAAUUUGAUAAUAAAUUAUAGAUUAUAACAUAUGAUCAUGAAUUACAUUUUAAACGAAGUUAUUAUAUUAAUUUAACAAUUUUUGUCAAAUUAUAAUUUUCUUGUAUCUUCUUAUAAAUUAAACAGAAAUCAUAUUAAUGUAUUUUUGAAAUAAUAUUAACAAUAUUUAUCUAAACAUAAUAAACACAUCUAAGCUAAAAUUAAUUAUAUCCUUGUUUUGAGAAAAAAAAGUUCCAUUUACAAUUAAUAAUAAAUAAGUAAACUUUAAUUAAAUAAUAAAUAAGUACAAUUAAUAAAAAUCAAUAGUCAUAAAUAGUAGAAGAGGAAAACAGUAGAAGAAGAAAACAGUAGAAGAAGAAUGAGAGAAGAGAAACGAAAAUUGAAGGGAAAAGUUUGUGAUGAAGCAUAAUCACUGCACAGAAAGAGGCACGCAAAUCGAGUUUAGCACCAACUUUGUCUCAAACGUUGUUUAUGAUGGACGCCCAUCCUCCUCUCUCUCAGCCUCAACCUCAACCUCAUGAUUAUUUGGAACCUUUCAGGGUUUCUAUCCAUCAAAUUCUUACCAGAGUCAACAAGGUACUUCAAUUUCUUCUUCCUAACACUUCCUCUUUCAAAGUUUUAAUUUUUAUUUUUUGGGCAUUUUUUGUUUUUCUCAUUAGGACUCUGAAUUAGAUCACCCUAGAAACUUCACUGGAAAUCAAAUCUAACAAACCGUUGCUUAAUUGUGGCUUACGAUCAGGGGUUUAGUUGAAGGGGUAGGAUUGAAGAGCAUGUCAACAUGUAGAGAAAAUUGUAACUACCACAUGCCUAGUUUAUGCAAUAUUUUUUUACAUAUAACUAAUGUAGUGUUCUUAAUAAGUAUAGAUUUUAGAGUGAGGCCUUUACUUGCUGUGGAUACUCGCUAUGUCACAGAACAAAGCAAAGGAGAACAAGGGCACGUUUUCAUGGACUUGUGGUAGAAGACAAUAAACAAGGAAAAAGGAAAUAAACUUUUCCAUUAGUUAAAAUUUGUUUUUUCAUGAGCUAAAUUAACUUAUGCAAAGUUUUUCUCAUAUUAGCUUAUUCAAAAUCAGAAUUUAAGUUAUGUAUAAACUAGUUUUAAGUAAUAAUUUUAUUUUAUUUUUUCUCUUAGAAGUGUUUAUGGAAAGUAUACUCAACCAGACCAUAAGCUCACAAAUGUGCAACCAAAAGCAAAACAACCUGCAAAUUGAAUUUGUUUCUUCUUCUGGGAUGGUAGGAAAGGAGCCAUGAAAAGCUAACACAAUAGGUAUUUGGAUGUAUAGUACUUGUCGUUCUCUCAAUGAAGUUUAGAGAGAGAAGGUUUUCACAAAUGGAAAUAAGCUGCGUCGAAUUUAGUGCAACUUGCAUGAGAUGAGAAGGAUUUAAAUUAACAAGUUAAAAAAUACAUGAGGAUUUUUCUUUGUGCGAGCACCCCCAGGCACCGGUAAAUCUUUUACCGUUCAAAAGCUAUUCAUAAAUUUAUGAAAAUACUAGCAUGGUGGGUGCCGUAACAUUUUUCAUAAGUAUAUUAAGAAAAGCUAAAAUGUGGAAGUGACCAUGGUACCGAUGGGUCACCCCAUUCCCUCUGCCACUACUUAUAGUAGCAAGUUUAUGAAUGAAAAAUUAGGUGAUGGUUUGAUCAUCUGAAUUUUUUGGGGAAUUCUGAGUUGACUUAGACUCAAAGUUAACCCUGUACUGAUCUAGAUUCACUAGCACUUAAUAUUAUAACUACAGUUGUAUAAUUAGUCCUCAAUUACCUCCUCUGCAAAUGCACUCAUAAUGUAAGAUAUGGUGCAUAUGCAUAAAAUACAAUGUCUCUGAAACAUUCUGUUUCAAGAUACUGGUGUGGAAAGAUAAGAUGUAAGAUAUACAAGUAUUUAUAUCUCUUAGAAAUUAUACUUUUAAGCCUAAUUCAAUCUCACAAACCAAUUUGUAAGGUGAUGUUUGUACUCACUAUAAAUGAAAGAUCUCCAAUCAUAUCAUCAUCUUAUAAAACAUUUGUUGAAAAUAUAUUCCUAAUGGAUGCCUUUUUUAUCAAGAGAAAGUUAUAAACCAUCAUAAAUAAAUAACAAAAUAGUUGGGUCAUGUAAUGAUUUGGGGGGGUAAGUAUAUAUGCUCGUGAUUUUUAGUAAAUUAAAUUUCAAAUGACUAUUAUGUAGCCUUUUAAUGGGUAGUGGCUGUGGCCUUAAUUUGAUGGGAUUUUUCUUUUGGGCCUGACUUAAUAAUGAGACCAGAAUGAUUUAACAUAAUUUGAAUUAUGACUUUGUUUUGAUCUGUUAUACAGUUAUUUAUAGAUCUGAAUUGUUUAAUAACCUAGACUCUAUGCUUUGUUCUUGCUUCCAUUUUUAAUAUUUUUAAUAGUCUUUAACCGUAAAUUUAUGAAGAAGUUGGUGCUCCUGUUUUUUCUCUGCAUCAUACUUCCAUUACUACCUAGCUGAUAUGUAAGUGAAGGAAUAUGCAAGUUGAAUAAAACAAUCUUGUUGUAUCUUGUACAGCUUGAGAAGCAAGUGACUGAGGUUGAACAGUUCUAUGAAUCCACUGAUAACGUUCAAGGUAAUAAUUCAAAAGGUGGUUCACUUGUAAAAGAGAAGGGCAAGAAGAAGCAUCCUACUGGCACCAAAAAGCCACUGCUAGAUGCAUCACAUACUGAAGCUGCUGCUGCAAGGAGAAUGCAAGAGCUUAUGCGCCAAUUUUCCACAAUAUUGCGUCAGGCAAGCGCAAAUAUUUUGUAACAUUUUUUUAGUAAUCUUUAUGAAUGUAGUUUUUCCCAAGUCUCCUUGUAUUUGGAUUUCCUUUAAUAGUUAAAAUCAAGAAUUGAACUUGAGGUUUCUGUUGCCAUUUGUUAGAAAAUGUUUUAUCCUUAUGAGUUGAUGCUCUGACAAAAGGUAAUAUUUAGCUUACCUUCUGAACAAAGUGUACUGAACAUUUUCAGUAUCGCUAAAGUCGAAUCUUGAACUUAUGUUGGACCUCAAUCCUAUUUUUAAUGUCAACCAUCUUACACUUUCUAUUACCUUUGAACACUAAACCAAGUUUUUAAUUGAGCAUUAUGGUGCAUUGGAUUCAUGUAUCUGAUCCCGUCUAGUGGGAAAACAUAUGGUUGUUUUGAGUGAGUGGUUAAGAGGCAUUGCCCUUGUUUUACCUUCUUCCAUGGACAAUCACUUCUUAUUUGUUAAAUUUCAUUCACUAGUUAUUUUAUACUUGUUGGUUGGAAGGGUCUUGUAUCGAAAUUUGUAUUGCUGGCUUAUACUAAAUUUUUGUUCACCCAUAUACACUUGUCAUGCUGCUUGCUGAUAUAUCCUGUAUAACAUCCAUAAGCAUGUCUACUCCUGAAUAUCUGGCUGAUUAAUUGUAAUUAGGAUUUCCUCUGUUACACUAAGUCCAGAAUCUUGCCUUCUUUCCUCCCAUUUCAUGGUCACACUUUCUCUUAGAAAACCAUGCCUAAUUCAUUGCUUAGAAAUCUCCAAUUUUCAAUUUAUAGUUAAAAAAUAUUGUCUAUUUCGUACUCAAUUUUAUUUUAUUUAUAGUGAAGACAUUGCUAAAAGGCUUAGUUUGCUUGGAUUUAAUUUACUUUUAAAAGCUUAGAAAUGGCAUGUUGACUGAUGGUCAAAAUGAAUUCCCCCUUUUCUGUUGAAUAUAUAUAUAUAUAUAUAUAUAUAUAUAUAUAUAUAUAUUAACACUACAAAGUUCCUUUGAAAACUCAAUAAUGAUACAUUUUGUAGUUUUGCAGAUAACUCAGCAUAAAUGGGCUUGGCCAUUCAUGGAUCCUGUUGAUGUAGAAGGUCUCAGGCUUCAUGACUAUUAUGAGGUAAGGCCUUUUGUUUGUUUUAAACCUUUUCUCUCAGUUUAACCUAUAUUUUUAUCUUUUGCCCCACAUAUAAACAAAUAUGCACGAGAAAUCUUUACUGAAAAAAGGUUUAAAUAUUCAUUUGGUCUCCGUUCAGCAAGUGGUGACAGUGAUUUCACUAAUUGACCAUCUAUCUUUUAUAACAAUAAUAUUUUUGCUCCUUGUCUUUGAUUAUAUCUCAAACGAAUUUGUUUAAUUUUUUCUUCCUCUAGGUUAUUGAUAAGCCCAUGGAUUUCAGUACAAUCAAAAGUAAAAUGGAAGCUAAGGAAGGCACAGGAUAUAAUAAUGUCCGGGAGAUAUACGCCGAUGUAAGGUUGAUAUUCAAGAAUGCAAUGAAAUACAACAAUGAAAAACAUGAUGUCCAUGUUAUGGCAAAGACCUUACUAGAAAGGUUUGAGGAAAAAUGGUUGCAACUUUUACCUAAAGUCGCUGAAGAGGUAACUUGUUUUCAGAUAUAGUUUCCUUAAUUUUUCAAAUGAAGCUUUCUAAUCACAAUAUUGGGAAAACCAUACUACAAAAGCUAGUUGUUGUAUUUGUAGAGGUCAAGGCCUUAUAAAUCCCUCACUAAAGUUCCAUACUUUGAUUGUGAGACUUGAGUCUCAUAUAUUGCAAGUGGAUCUUGACAUCCCACCAUGCUUCGUAGCCUUGACACACCCACAUGAGCUGGUUGUGCACUAGCCCUUUGACUAGUUCUGGACAAACCCUAUAAGUAGUAUUUUUUCCCCCAAGAACUUUUGAUUAGAACUGACUGCCUCAUAGUAUACUACAAGGACAAAACAUGAGGCAGUAGAUGUUGAUGCUGACACAAUGUUAUGGGGUGCAAUGUUGAUUAAGAAAAUUUAUUUCCUCUAGCAUUCCCUUAGGGUUAUUUGUACAUUUCUUUUGUAUGCACACAACUUCCUCUUUAAUAUACUAAAUAAAUGUCUACUUCAUCUUCCUUUUUUUUUCUUUGCCUGAUACUUUGAUAUUAUGCUUGUAGACAACCGUGAAAUGCUGAAACAAAAAUGACAGUAUUAAAUAAGCUUAUGUUAGUAUUAAGUAGACAACUUUGCGAACUAGCAAUGUUCUUCAUAGACUUGCUGUAUCAUCCUAGGAGCAGUAUCCUUUACGAUAUUUCUCCACAUUUAAUUUGUUGUCCUUGGAUUAUAAGCUCUUUCAAACUGUGUGCAUCUUUUGCAUAAUCUUUAGCAAUAACACUGCUUAUGUGACCCACCAUUUUCUUCAUGCAGGUUUUGGGUUAUGUUAACAUAACCUUGAGUCGAACCUUUGGAAGUUAUUAUUUUUACAUAACUUUGCCAUGUUUUUCAUGUGUUCCUAGAGCGUUAUGUUCUUCACAUAACCUUUUAUCAACUCCUAGAAAGUAGGACAUUACGUUCUUCACAUGGUGCUAAGAUGUGUGCUCUUCACAUAACCAUUUGUUGAAUCCUAAGAAGUUAUGUUCUUCACAUAACUUUGUCAUGUUCUUCAUUUGGUCUUAGGAAGUUCUUAACAUAACGGUCGCAUAGUCUUGUCUUUGUAUAGUAGUAUAACUUUAUUGGAAGGUCUUUCUUUUGAUGUAGGUUGUUUUGAAUUUUUGAUAAAGAAAAGGUACAAGAGAGAAGUAGCAGAGAAGGCAACACCACUCAGUUUUUUUACUACUGCAGAAGCAUAUUUUCUUUAAUUGAAUAUGACAUUUAAAUACAUUCAAACAACUGAAAAGAAGGAUCAUGCUCCAUGAUUUAGGAACUGUUAUUGAUAAUGGGAAAAUAAAACCAGAAACUAACUAAUCCACUGACAGCAGAAUAACUAAUUUGAUUUAUUCAUACUAAAACUACUUUGAAAGAAUUGCAAAGGCACAUUCUCAACACUCUUCCUUGUCUUGGAAUCUGCAAACUCCCAGCAUCUUCCUCAAAAAUUCAAAACUUGCAUAGUGAAAAAGACUUUGUAAACACAUCAGCAGCUUGAUCUUCAGUUUUACAAUAAGCCAGACUUACAUUUCCAAUUUCUUACACUUCUCUUAAGUAAAAUAGCUUGACACUAAUGUGCUUUGCCUUCCCAUGAAUCACAAGAUUGUGUGAGGUUGAAAAAGUUGCUUGAUUAUUGACAAAAACGUGUGUGCUUUACUCCUGCUUCAGUUCCAAAUCUGCUAGAAUAUUUCUUAACCAGAUAGCUUGAUUUACAGUUAGAAAUUCAGCUUCUGCUGUGGAUUGAGCUACAACCUUUUGCUUCUAUGAACACCAAGAAAAAAAACCUGAACUCAUACUGAAAUAGUAAUCUGAAGCACUCUUCAUAUCAUCCAAGCUACCUUCCCAGUCACUGCCAGAAAAGCCAUAUAAUUUAAAUUCUUGUACCAUGUAGUAUUUGACUCCAUAAUUGACAGUUUCAUUGAUGUAUCUUUCUACUCUCUUUGCUGCCUUCAAGCGCAGUUCACUAGCACAAUGCAUGUAUCCAAGCUAACAGGAAAUAAGAUGUCAGGCCUUUGUAGAUGUAAGACACAUUAGACACCCUCAAGCUUCUACAAUGAGUUUCAUCAACUUUAUCGGUUCCGUCCUCUUUGCAAUUCUGUGAGCAAAGUAGAAAUACAUGUUAAUUCAGUAGAAGUUUGAGCCAAACUUUUGUCCUCAGCCUCGGUACUAGAAUGAGUAGUAACUCUCUUAUUGGAUAAUUUGCAAUUAGAAACCAUAGGGGUAGCAAUGGAAUGAGCUUCUUCCAUAUGUGAUUUGUGAAGCAAGUCUUGAGUAUAUUUUCUAAGUCAUAGAAACAGAUUGAUCGGGUAAAUAUUUCAUUUCAAGGCCAAGAAAAUAAUCUAAAUGAUCAAGUUGUUUAAGAGAAAAAGUUGUAUGAAGUUUGGUUGAAAUCUAUUAAAUCAGAUCAGAGUAAUAGAAAUGCCAGUGAUUGGGUAUCAAUAAAGGCAAGCACAACCAAAGGAUUUGAAAAAAAUGAAAAUCUGGAUAUUUAUUAAAAAUAGUAUAAGGAAUGACAAAUUUUAGAGGGGUUGUGGGCAACCUGGUGGUUAUAAGUAUUCGGAAGUCCCACAUUGCUUGCCUUAAGUCUUGGAGUGCGACUUAUAUAUUUGUUGGGUAACAUCACUUAAUGCCAAUUGGUUUAAGCUGAAAUCUAUCAUAGUAUCAAAGCCUAUAACUCAUCUAGGUUGGUUCAGCAAACAUCUGUGGAGGGGAAGUGUUGGGAAGACCCACAUCGCUAAUCUUGAGAAGAUACUGUUCCAUUGAUUUGGAAUCAAGUCGGACUAUGCACAUGACAAUAGCGUGCACUAGGUUUUGUUUGAAAACCAAAAUUUUCAUGAAUCUUCUCCCAAAUCUCGUAGGAGUGACUCGACCCAAGGACUCAAGAAGACAAAAUCGACUUAGAGAGUGUAUAUUGAAGCCAAACAAGUAACGCUUGGUCUUGAACUUCUCACACUUUGUACUUUGGAUUAAUGCGAUCAAGUGUAUGUUGUAGCUUUUGCAAUUUUAUCACGAGUUCAACAUGUUGAUGCUAAUGGAGAUAAUUUGAGUCAUCAAGCUUUUCAGCAAUGGAGGUUGGAAAGGACAGUGAUGCUGGAGCCAUGAAAAUAGAAGAAGAUAUCAUAGAGAAGAAGACAUUGCAAAGAAAAGACGACGAGAAGAGAAACUCGUGAUAAGGAAUUUGCGAAGAGAAACUUGCGUUGAGUAAACCUAGAAUUCGAAAAGAGGAAACAACGAAAAAUUGGCUCUUGAUACCGUGUGAAAGGAACCAAACAAUAGAAAAAUUUGUAACAAAUUGAAUUGUAUUCAUUCUUCAUUACUGAAAUAAGAAGUUUUCAAGAGUAUUUAUAGGUAACUACUUAGGUAACCACUCGUGACAAAAGAUAUGGUUGUUAGUAAUUGCUAACAACUCUAAAGAGUACAUACAAAAUAUAACUAGUUAUACACUCUAAACUCCUUGACAAGCUUCUCCUUUUGAUUCAUCGGAUUGUUCAUUUCUCCACAUUCAUGCAGUUGAAAUGUUUCUAGGAUCUCAUUUGCAUAUUUUUUUUUUUACAAGAAAAAUAUCUCAUUCUUCUUUUGAGUGAUCUCUAUGCCCAAAAAUAAGUCAUAAGACCAAAAUCAAUCAUCUCAACUUCUCCUAUGUAAUAUUACUUUUAUAUAUUUGCAUAUGGUAGGAAAAGAGACAAAUAGAGGAAGAAGCACAGGCACAGUUAGACAUUCAGCUUGCUCAGGAGACAACAUAUGCCAAUAAGGCUAAGGAUAUAAGCACUGAGGUUGGUUAUUGUUUGCUAAUGUUUUGUUUUUCCGGGAAAAUCAUUAAUUUGGUGCCACAUAGGAGUACAUCACAUAUUUUGUUAUGAACUACCUAUUAUUUCAGCUUUAUGAGGUCGAUAUGCAGUUAAAGAGUCUCAAAGAAAUGGUGGUUCAAAAGUGCAGGUUUGUGUAAAAAUCAUUUAUCAUUUGGUCCAUUGUGUUGUUUUUGAGUCUGGAGCUCCAAAUACUUGUUUUAUGAUAGUAUCUAGUUUUUUCUCUGGUCAUCAUGAUAUUGUUGAUGAAGCAUAUUUUGCAUUGCUUACUGUUGCUAAUGACACUGCAGGAAACUGUCUACUCAAGAGAAGAAAAUGCUUGGUGUAACUCUAGGCAAAUUGACUUUAGAAAACCUCUAUAGGGCAUUGGAUGUAGUUGCUGAGACUAACCCAAUCUUCCAACCUACUGCUGAUGAGGUGGACCUUGACUUAGAUGCUCAGGUCAAUACUAUUAUUCCUUGCUAGUUGACAGUGUCAAUUGUCUUCUAAUUUUAAAUUUUGUCUAUUCUAUCUAUCCAAUUUAUUUUAGUUAUUCUGCUAGCAUAUUUCUAGUUACACAACAUGUUUUCAUCAUUACACAGAGCGACUACACUCUAUGGAGGUUAAAAGCUUUUGUAAAAGAUGCACUAGAAGAGCAAGAUAAGGUCGAUGAGGGUGCAGCUGUUAACCCUAAUGAUAACCCUGAUGACAAGAAAAGCAAGAAGAGACGAGAUUCUGGGGAUUCUUCAGGCAAGACAAACCCAAAAAGGAAGAAGCUAUCUACAUUGUGAUUCAUUAGUGCAACAUAUGAGGCAUUCCUUUAUUGUGGUUGAGCUGAAGUUGCUGAAAAGCCAGUGAAUUGAACGAUGCAAUAGGAAAUUUUUGUAAAUCCUUCUAUAGUUAUUUACUGCUAUGUAGAUGAAAAUAAAAUUUGCAAGUGUGCUUUGUCAGAGAAGUCUGCUUUUGGAAGCAGACAACUUUUACAAUUCUGAGAACAGAUUAGAGUAAGUCAACCAUCUGGGUCUGGUUAACGUUCUCUUGCUGUUCUGAGGAUGAUCUCAGGUUUCAGAAAAGAAUUAAGGCAUCUAUGCAUGUGAAUGUGCUGAAGACAAACAAGAACUUGAUUGACCUAUUUAAUUAUGUGCAGAAGCGUAGGAAAAACUUGGUGAAGUACCUGGAUGGAGCAUUUAUACUAAAAAAAAAUCAAUAAAUAGCGAUCAAAUUUAUUGAUAAAAAUAAUUUUUCACUAUAUUAACUAAAUGAAAUAUUAAUUUAAAAACUAAAAAAUUAUUGAUAUUUAAAGUGGUUUUUAUUAUUAAUAAAAAUUUAUAAAAUAGUUUUUAAAUUAGUAUCUAAAUUAGUUACUAAAAAUUAAUUUUUUAGAUUUUAAAUUGGUUUUUAAAAUAUUAAUAGAAAUUAAAUUUAGAAUAUAAAGGAGAAAGUAACUAAAAUUUUAUUAGUAUUAUUUUAUAAUUUUUUAUUAAUAAUAAAAACUAAUUUAAAUAUCAACAUUUUUUUAUUUUAUAAAAUGUCAUUAAUUUUCUGCAAUAGUAACUAUUUUGACUUUUAAAAUUAUUUUACAUUUAAUAAUUUUUUUUAGUGUUAGAUAAAAUCAAUUUCAUUUUUAAUUAUUUGGCUGCAUGUUUAUAUUUGUCAGUGUUGUUAUGGGAUAUAAAAUCGGCAUGUACAUGUGACUGCUGGAUUCGUUUUAAUAUACAAGUAUAUAUAUUUUAAAUUGGUGAACAUAAGGAUAAUAUAUUCUAAUUUAAAUAAUUUAAGUUUUUAUUUCAAUUUUUUAAUCUUUUCUAAUAUGUUUUUUAUUUAAUAAAAUUUAGUGUUUAUCAUUAAUAAUAUUUACUCUUAACGACGAAGAUGCGUAUUAUUUUAAAAAAUCUCUAAAACUUGUUUACAAUUUUUGAAAAAACAUUGCUUCUUAUGAGAUUUUAUUAUUGUUUGUAAGUUUUUAUUUUCAAUGAUUUUUCUGAGACAACGGCUAUGAUGGGAGAAAAUAAAUGAAAGAAAGAGAUUGAUGUUUAAUUAGAUGUUAAUUCACAAAUUAUAUAUUUUUGAAAAGUAAAAUUGAUUUUUCAAAAAAAACACUAAAUCAAAUUGAUUAUUGGUCUUUAAUAUAGGAAUCAAAAGAUAAUUAAGCUUAAAAAUAAUCAAUUUCAAUAAAUUAAAACUUAGUUUUAUUAUCUUGCAUUAUAUGGAAGAAAAUAAUUUUAUGAUUAUUUUUAAUCAAUAUUGUAAAUAUUUUUGAAUUAGUUUCUCAACUGUUUAAAUCAUAAUCAAAUUGCAAAUUUGAAUUUUUAUCUUAGUGUUUACCAUAAAAUAUCGCAGAUAUGAAGAUAUGCAAAAUUCAUAAAAUUUUUUCUUUUUUAAAUGAUAUAAAAUUUGUUUUUAUAUCAUUGGACAUGUUUUACUAAUAUUUUUAUUUAUAAUUUAAAUAAAAAAUAUACUUAUGCUAUGUAUAAAUACGUUCACACGCAGUUGCGGCUUUAUCUGUUUUUUUAGCAUAACUCAAAGUAUGCUCUGUUCUGUUUUGUAACCUUUUUUUCAAUCAUAAUCAUUAUUUGGGGAAAGGAACAGAAUGAUGAGUUCUACCUUCUCUUAAUUCUUCUAUUAUUCACAUCACAUUUAGAUCUCUUUUCUUUUCUUUUCAUUUUCAUGCUGUCAAUUGUAGUUCUCUUUACUUCAAUCAGGUACAUACAUAGAGUCCCUACUUCAUUGUCAAUGCAAUAAUAUUUGUACCAAAUUUUCUUUUUUUCUGUUAUUUCUUAUUCAAUUUUUCAUGAAACAAAAACUAAAGAAAAUCCAUUGAUCUUGGUGUUGAGUUAUAUCUACAUGAUGAUCUUGAAUAUGUGAAAUUGCUUUACUUAAUUAUUCUCUGGAACUGACUUAUUAAUGGUGCUCUUAUUGAUAUGCAGAUUUUUACUUUUUAUUGUUUGAAAAUUUUCCCCUCAAAGGGAUGGGAAAUAGAAGAAAAGGGAACAUUGUGGGUAGCACAUGCAAGACCAAGAAUAAUUAUAAUAAUACAAAUGCAAAGUUGAGUUAGAAAUAGCAACAGAAGCAGCAGCAUCUUGUGCAUCUCCUUGUUGUGGUGGUUUUGAGAGCAAAGGUUUCAGAUUCAUAUCAUCAUCUGAAGGCCAAGAUCAUAAAACAUAUCUAUAUAGAAGAACCCCAGCAUGUCCCCUUUUGAUUCUCCUCAGACAACAACAGAGAGCAGUCACAGCAUGAGCACCAGCACUAGUCCAAGUGGUGGUGAUGUGCUCCUGAAGUGGGGCCACAGAAAGAGAUCAAGGCUCUCCAGGGCUGCCAUUGAAGACUCAUCAUCUUCUGUUCAGACCAACAGCAGAAGAAUCUCACACUCUGUUCCUCCCAACUUCUCCAUGCCGCCACCACCACCACCACCACUUGUUUCUUCUACUGCCUCCAGCGGCAGAGGUAGAAAGCACAGCCCUAGGUAUCAACACUCUCAUUGUAUCCUUACAUUCUUAAAUAGGUGUGAUAAUUAAUAAUGUCUUGUAAAACCACACAUUUGCUUCUGCCUACUUAUCUAUCUAUCUAUCUUCUUUCUUAGUAUCACUAUUUUUUGAGGUUUGUCGUGAAUAAGCAUUUUGUGAUUCAAUGGCCUUUGAGUUUGGAUCAAGCUUGUCUAAUCUCAACCUUGUUGAAAGUGCCAAGGUGGACUAUUUCCUCUCCCCAUUUUGUCAUUCCAAAAAUGACCUAAUUCUUUGCAACUUUCUUGGAUCCCUUAUUGUCCCUUGGAUUUUACUUUGUUUCCCCUUUUAUCUUGUCCUGACAACGAACAUCGAAGUUUCAAAGUGAGAUUAGAUAUAGCAUUCAUAUCUAGGCAAAACUUCUGCUUUUUUAUGCCACUCCUUUUCUUAUUGACACACAUAUAGUCCCACAACACCUUGUUUCUACUGUUUUCCCAACCUUAAAAGGUGGCUUUCUUAAAAUAGUGUUCAACUUCCACCUACUUGUUUUUGUUUCUGAAUCUACAUUAUAGUGGAUCUAGACUUGUUUUAGAACUUGAUUAGUUCUGCUUCAAAUUCAAACUAGAUAGUCAAGUUUCUUGGUCCUUCAUUUUACUAGUAGUCAAUCAUGUACAUCCCUAGUUAUGAUAAAAAAACAGUCAUCAAAAUUAGAUUGUUCCCUUUCAUUUAUCUAACCCUGGAUCUUUUCUCUGUCUGGAGGCAGGAAUUUGGAAGAUCCCUCUUUAGGUGGAAGUGAGUCACCUCCAAGAAACAGUCAGGGGAGUAACCCAGUUGUCUCUAGAUCUGCUGCACCAAAAUUGUCUUCUUCUGGCAUGGAAAGAAGUAGCAGAAGGGUGCCUUCUUCUGGAUCAGCAAAGUUCCAAAAGCCAAGUGCAUUUUCCACAACACAACAAGCCUCUGAGAGACUGAAUAAUAGUCAAGGGGAUUCAGCCUCAGUGCAAUCUGAACAGGAAGGUGGUGUUGCCACUACUCCUGCUUCCUCAUCCCUUGCUGCCAAUGGAAACAAGCUCACUGUUGAGGUAAUUCAGUGGCCAAGAAUAUACAUUGCUCUCUCAAGAAAGGAGAAAGAAGAUGACUUUCUUGCUAUGAAGGGGACAAAAAUCCCUCAAAGACCAAAGAAGAGAGCAAAGAAUGUAGACAGGAUUCUACAGGUAUACCAAUAAACAUUUCUAAUUUGCACAAAAUGAAAUAAAAUUAAAAAAAAAAUGUAUAUAUUUGGUUUCUUUUUCCUCACUUCAAUUCUAUGCUUGUCUAAUUUAUGAACUAGAACAAAUGAAAAAUUGAUUUCUUGUGAUAUUAUCAUUGGUUUACAGUGUUGUUUCCCUGGGAUGUGGCUAUCAGAACUGACAAAGAGCAGAUAUGAGGUUAGGGAGAAGAAGUCCAUGAAAAAGGUAACCCUUACUUUUUGCUUCAGCUUAGGAUACUGAGACAUUAGGGACAUUUAGUUCUUGAAAUUGAAAAAAAAAAAGAAUAUUACUUUUUCACUCAAAUUAUCAUAUGAAUAUGAUAGUUUUAGUUCUUGAAACUACCAAACAAUUUUGUUUUAGUUUAUGAAAUUUCAACAAUAAGAAUCAAACUAUUGGUGUUUGAUAAUUUUAGAGACUAAAUUUAAAAAAUAUUCUUGACUUUAAGGACUAAAUCGAAUAUUUCUCUAUUAUUAUAUAUCUUGGUUGAUUCAGAAUGGUGGAAUAUGUGAUGUUAUUAUGUAGUGUGCAUUAUAAGAUACUGAUAUGUUGGGUUUAUCUUGGAUAUGCAGCAAAAACGCAGAGGCUUGAAAGGAAUGGAAAACUUGGACAGUGACUCAGAGUAGCACAUAGUGGAUGAGAUUGCAGAGUGAAAGCUCAUGAUUCUUUUUCUGAAUGACCACUUUGAUUUUUAAAUAUGUAAAUUAGUGACAAUCAUGGUAGCUAAAUUUUGAUCUAGUUUACUUAAUAAAUGUGACAAUUACUUGAGAUAACUUUUUUUUUUCAGUGGAGUAAUAGGUGUGACUCUUUCUUUCAGCACUUCCCUUGUUUCUUUCUCACACUUUAUUUUAGCUAAUGAAUAUUUUAAACUAUAUAUUAUGAAUAUAUUUUAAAUUAUAUGAUUUAAAAUUAUUCGGAAAUAUAAAGUUUAAAAUACAUUUUUAGUUUCCAUAAUCUAAAAAUGAUAGUGUUGCUUUUCAUUGUUAUUUUUAUGGACUAAAUUGAUGAUCUGUAUGAUCUGGGAGACUUUGUUUAGUACAAGGCAAAAGAUAUGACAAAAUUUUGUGCUAAAUAUUCCAAAGGAUGAUGGUAUUUCUUCCUGCACCCUACAUUCUUUGUAAUACCAGAAUUAUCCAUGAUAAUUUUGGAUAUUCUGAAAUAAAGGUUCUGUAAACAAAAAAUGUUUCCAAAGUAGAGAUUCUGUAAGUAAAGUAUAUUUUCGGAAUAAGAAAAGGCAAAAGACCAUUUUGAAAUAUUCUUUUCAUAACACAUUUUCUUAAUUUUUAUAAUGGUAAAUCCGAAAUUCAUAAAAUAAAAUGUGUUCUGAAAAGUAAUCUGAAAAUCAUUUUUAAAAGGGGUGAAAUGGUUUUUUCCGAGAAUGAUGGGGUACAUGUUGGGAUGGAGGGAGAAACACUCUAAGGAUGAUUUUUUUUUUUCUUUGGCUAGUAAUCAUGCUUCAUGGCAUCUACAAAAUGAGUUAAAACUCUAUCUUCGGAUUCAAUCAUUUCUAUUCUACACAAAAAUUCAACACAUAAUGUACCUCAUACAAACAACAGUUACUAUGUUCACAGGUGAGUUGGUGAAAGUUCAAAGGAAAAGAUGUUCAAAAUAACCAUCAAGAUUGUUAAAUUUUUUUUCCUUGUGGUGAGUUUGAUUUUAGUUUUAAUUUAAUACUAUAUUUUUAAUUUCACUAAAUUUAAUUUAUGAAAGAAAUAAGACCUGAAAGAGUUUCUUUCAAUAAAAACCAAAUAAUGUAGUUUUUUAGUAUUAGUGUAGACAAAGGAUUACUACAAAAUCAGAAAAGUUUCAGGAAAGAUAGAUUCAAAGUGCAGAGAAAUUAAAUUAGAGAAAAACUAAAAGUUAACUUAGUGCAAGGCCUAAAUUAUUAACCUCCAUUUUUCAAUAUUUGGAAAGUCCAUUGAUCUGAAUGAGGAAGUAAGAUGUUUUUUCCUCCAUCCCAAAAAUUUUUUUUUUGGUCAUUUUCCAUUCAUUCUAAAAUUUCAGAAUGUGAAAAAUAUAUAUUGUGAAAGUCCAUUUCAAAAUGAAUGAAGGGUGGUUCAAGAAUUUUACAAAGGCACCGAAGAUAUACUUUAGGAAAUUAACCAAAAAAGUUUGAAUCCAAUCUUCUAUAACAAGCACAUGAAAAAAAAAAAGAAUUACUAAAGAUAGACUAAGAGCUUAUUAGUUAAGUAGAAUACAUAGAAAAAUGNNNNNNNNNNNNNNNNNNNNNNNNNNNNNNNNNNNNNNNNNNNNNNNNNNNNNNNNNNNNNNNNNNNNNNNNNNNNNNNNNNNNNNNNNNNNNNNNNNNNNNNNNNNNNNNNNNNNNNNNNNNNNNNNNNNNNNNNNNNNNNNNNNNNNNNNNNNNNCUACUAUAUAUAUAUAUAUAUAUAUAUAUAUAUAUAUAUAACAUUUGUCAACAUGAAAGAGUGUGUUAAAGAUUUAUGGUACACUUCUGUGAUUCUCAAUUUCAAAAGAGAUGAUAAGGUUUCUCAAUUUUCACAGAACUUGUAAUCCCUGAUGAACAUUUUAUGGCCCUAUUCAACUAUAAGGCAUGUGAUCUGUAAUGAAACUGUGUUUGACUAGUGGGGUUUACAGGCAUACAUACUUUUCUAUUUGAGGUAACUGAACCAAUUGAAAGAAAAAUACAAAACACAACAGAAAAAUAACUCACUAACACGUAAUAAGCUUCAGGUGCUGAUUUCAUGGUCUCAGUUAGCUUGUAAACAUUCAGUUAAUUCUGCUACUACUUUGACAUUUAGCAAAUCUUUUCAGCUCCAGUCAACUGCGGUAAAAUAGUAAAAUAGUUCUGAGAAAACUGAUGACAGAUUUCUUAGUGAUUGAUUGACUUAAGGGAUGGUACACGGGUAAAAAUGAUUGAUUUGAAUUUCAAUCCACACAAACAUGCAUGAUCUUAUUCAUAACCCCUUGUAAGUCAGAAUAACUUAUCCAUGCCACCUCAUUCACAAGUUUAAACUUGCAUCAACAAAUCAUAGAUACUUUACAAUGAAAGGAAAAUUUGAUGAAUGCCUCAAAAAGAAAGAUGUUUUGAUAUGUGUCCCCAAAUACAGAUAUAUAGUACACCGCAUUCAGAUGAUAAACAAUUAUACAUUUCAAUAACUAAUUUGUUUGGUCGUUUCUCUUGUAUUUGUAUCCUAUUCUUUUCCAUGAAUAAAUUACAAGCUCCUGGAGCAAUUUGCAGAAAUAGGCCAGCAAGCCCUUGAAUACUGAGUGUGAAGGGUUCAGAAGGAGAAUCAAUCUUCGUGUUACAAGCAUCUGGAACAUUCUGCAAACAUGCAUUAGCGAUUCCUUGGUUGGUGAUUGUAUGGUCCAAUAGAGGGCAGAAGCCAAACGUCUUCCACACCAAGCUUCUCCUUUAUGAAAAUGAGUUGGUCCUUGAAUCCUUAAGAGCCUAUAAGCCAGUAAAAAAAGUUUAAUUAUAAAAGAAAAUUUAGUUAAAAACCAGCCCAAAAAUGCACAUAACUAACCAGCCGUUUGAAGGAUCUGUUGAAUGAAGUUUUCUUUGAAUUCUCAACAUCUGGUUUGGCACGAUCAAGAGCCUACAAAACAAAUGCAGGUUUUAUCCCAAGUUAUGCACUGAAACUCAACACAUCAUUUAAGGAAAAAUGACCACCAACACAUUUAUGACAAUGUAGCAGAAGUUCACUUCAACUGUACAAAUUCCUCAAUGGAUAAAAUAUAACGUGUGGUAUUCUAGUUGGGCCCUAGGAGGAUGCCAACUAAACCGUCCAAGUUAUGUGCAUACUUUUGCAACAACCAAUAGCUGAUGUUAGGACAAAAUAUGAAAAAACAGGGAACAUUCCCUGAUCAUAAAAAGCUUUUCCAUGAAGCAUAUGCCUAACCAUUAUGUAAUAUCCAGUAUCCACUAUUACAUUUUGUAAUCAAACAUAUUUUUACUGCAAUGUCAAACAAAAUUGAAGCACUAAAAGAUUUUUAGUAACCACAAAGUUAACUUGAAUAAGUAAAUAAAAUGUAAGAGUACCUGAAUCAAGGACUCCACACGACGCCGCAUACGUGUAUGCAUAAAUCCUUCGGAGCACUGUCACAAAUAUGCAUAAUAGUAAGCUUAAGCUUCUCUAACUCUUCCACAAUUUGUAAUACCUCAUUUACAGUGAAAGUGAUCAAAUCUAUAUCAAAAACCAUAUACUCUCUCCAACACUUUUCACCAUUGUCCCUCUCUGUUUUGAAAUAAAAAUUAUACUUUAAAUAAGUUAAAUUAUAUGCAAAAAAACUGUUUGGUUUUAUUUAAGAUCAAAUAAAAUCCUUCAUAUCUAAAUAUUUCAUAGAAUGAAACAUUUGCUUAUCGUUUCAAACCAUUAAUCCUUAAGAGUACUCAGACAAAGAUGAUAGUUUAAAUCCCAAGCUAAAAAACAAUAAUAGUUCAUGCAAAAGAUGGUAAUAUCUUCAUGAUACCAAAUCAAGAUCAGCAUGUACAUUGUCAUCACAAUAGUGAAUACAUAUUUAUGCAACUGAAAUAUUUGGUUCAAAGAAACCCACACCUUAACAUGAUAGCUAACGUAGGCAUGAAAAGUUGACAGAUUCCAUACUGUACGAUCCAAUUUCUGACCCUCAACAUGACGGGGGGAAAUAACUGCAGAGUCGAACAUAUUACAUUACAUUGAUGCUAGCAAUAGAAUAAACACACAUAUAAAUUGUGAUCCUGACACCAACCAAAUGUGACAAAUCCUGCAUUUGCAGCUAAUGCAUCAGAGGGAACUCCUUUUAUUUCGAGUGGAGGAGUAAGAGACCACGAACAAUGAGGGGUAUUAUGAAGUCCUGCUGUGCGCCUGGCUUCGACAAAUUCCUAAAUUACAAUAAAGCUUGAAAAUUGAAACCAUCAAAUCACCCAAAACAGUAGUAAAGCACAACACAAUAAUGGUUUGCAAAAUGCAACAAAAAUGAUGUUUUUAUCUCUCUUCCUGCUCUCUUUAAUCCUAAUGACCUUAGAUAUGUGAUAACAAACAAACCAUACCUGCAGGAAUGAAGUUGCAAGAACAAUGUCUAUUGAAUCGUUGAAUCUCAUAGGAUACACCACAGUCACCUUGUCAGCCUGAAAAAAAAAAGUUUCAUACACUAGAUUUUUCCAUUUUCAAAGAAUUAUUUUCUUUAUCCUUCACUUUAUUCUCAACUUAAACUAACAACAACUAGUGUAGCAUAUUUGAACAAUAUGAAAAAAAAACACUAUUGUUGAUUGCCUAUUUUACCCCUUUGAUGGUCAUAAUUUGAUGGCAAUUCAAUGAAACUUCUAACUUUUAAACUUUUUUUACCCCAUUUAUUAGCAAGCAUUUGUAAUUGAUUGACUUUAAUUCGGGAAUGUAGUUAUAACUAUUCUGAUCCCUUUUAAUUGUUAAUUCAGAGAGAAGCCAAGUAGGUGUUAAUUCAAGAAUAUGUGCAAUUGUUGAGCAAAUCUUAAUUCACUAAUUGAAUUCAUAGCAGAUAGAUCCUGAAACUUGAAGUAGCAAAGACGUUAAGUGAAUCCAAAUUCAAUCAGAAAAAUGGAGAGGAGAAGAUUGUUGAACCAAGUGGUGUUCAAUGUUUUGAAGAAUCCAAAUCCUUUGAAGGAUGUUGAAGCCUCUGCUUUGCUUGAUGUUGCUGUGUUGGUUUAAGCUUUGUUCUGGGGUAGUUUAUAUGUUGUAAUCCACCCUUUGAUUAAAUCUCAAGCAAUUAGCAUCUCAAUCUUUAUGAAUGUAAAAUGUUUUUCAAACUAAGUUGAAACAACCGAUUGUUUUGUCGAAACAACCGAUUGUUUAUACUUAGGUGUUUUGAUAAAAAUUGUAAACUGUUUUUGAAUGGUUCAAACUGUUAAGUACCAGAACAACCGAUUGAUUUGAGGAAACAACCGAUUGUUUGUUUUGGAAUCAUAACAGAAAAACUGUUUUGUGUUUGACUGAGCUUUAAAUGCUUUAACUGUAUACGCUCCAGUCAUUAAAUGCUUUGACCAAUCUUUUAAUGCAAUUUAAGAGUUUGUUAAGAUUUGAUAACAAACUACAUCUUUGAAUAUAUUAAGAAAAACAGAUUUGAGAAUUAAGUAUCUUUUGACAAAGUUUUUCUAAAGAGUUUUUCAAAGAGCUGAGAUUGCUAAGAGUUUGUGAUUGAUCAAAGUGCUGGAAUAGGAUUCUACUUGUAUUGAUUUCAGAUAUUCAUCUGUAACAAGUGUAAUCUUUGUACUCUGUUGAACAAUUUGUUUUUGUGCUUACUGAGAUUGGCUGUGUUCUUGAGGUGUUCAAGAUCAGCAAUCUUAGUGUUAGCCAAGGAGAGUGUGUUUCUUGAGGUGUUCAAGGUCAUUCUCUUGGUUGUUGUGUAAGUGAUCAAGGUGUAGUUGCUUAGUGGAUAUCCUCAGGGUUUCUGAGAAGACUGGAUGUUGCUCUGGUUUGGAGUGAACCAGUAUAAACAACUGUGUACAAUUUCUCUAUCUCUAACUCUUUAAAUUCAGUUUAUUUGUUGUUUGCUAGUAUAAACAACAGAUUGUUUCUACAAAACAACCGAUUGUUUUUCUGGUACUACAGCUUUUGCUUGCUGUUUUGGCUAACUGAAUUGCUGAAUCAAUUGGUUUCUAAGAUAAAUUCAUUCUAGUUUUUGAAAAGUUUGCGAACACCCCUUUAAACUAUUCACCCCCCAUCUAGUUUAAAGCCAUCUUUUCUAACAAAGAUUGUUUCCUUUGGAGCAAAAAACUGGACAAAGAAAAUUUUAGGCAAAUGGAUUUUUGAAGAUUCACUUUGGGAUUUACAAUCCACCGAGAGAAAUUAUAAAACUUGUCAACUUCCCUAUAUUGGGACUGCAACAUAUAAAUAGCAUUCAUGGGCAUGGAAGCCAAGCACUGAGAGAUACAAUGAGGCAGAACAAGAAUCCUUAGAGGUUGGGAAGUAACCAGUGGGGACUCUUUUCUUCUCCCUUCUAUGAUUUGUACUCUUGAUUGGUUAUUCACCAUGAAUAAUUAAUCUUCUCUUUGUUGCGAUCAUCUCUAAUCACACACACACAUAUGAUUUUCCCCAUUUAUCUAUGUUAGUGAUUUUCUCCAGGAGCCUCCUUAAUAUAAUUUAGGAUCUGUAUGGCUGCAUACCAAUAGUCUUGAUAAGUAGAGUUUAAAAAUUUAUUUACUACAAUCACUGCAAAGGCGAUGUCAAAACGAGUCAGUGAGGUAAUUUUAGACUAUUAACUAACCUUCUGUAUCACCAAGGAUCAAAAUAUAGUUAUCCUUGGUUAGGAACAAGUUUGACACUUGGAUUCAUUACUGUGUCCACACAGGCUUAGUAUUCAUCAUCAUGUUUCUUCUAGAAUGUCAAGAACAUACUUUCUUUGAGAUAUGACCAAACUACUCUUGGAUUGUGCCAUUUCUAUACCAAGGAAAUACCUCAAGGAACCAAGAUCUUUUGUUUGGAACUUUUGACCCAUACACUAUUUUAGUUGUACAAUACCCUUCUCACUAUUGUUGAUAACAAUUUCAACCACACACACAACGAGAUAGAUACAUCCUUGGGGAGAAUGAUGAUAAAACAAAGAAUGACGAGUAUCACUUCAAAUCAUUCCAAACUGCUAGAUGAUAGUCAUAAAAUGUUCAAACCAUGCUUGGGGUGAUUGUUUGAGUCCAUAUAGGGAGGAUUCAAUAAUUAUCAAAGAAACUGAGGAAUUGUUAAGUGAUUAAUCAUUAGUGAGUUUAAAUAAUUACAAUAGCAUAGGUGCAUGUUAGGUGAAGUUUGAUCCCAACAAUAUUUUCCUUGACAGUUCCUCUUAACUUCGAUUGUUUCUUUUAGAAGCUAUUUUUCUAAUUUCAACAUAUUUAACCAUUAGAUUCAUGAACAUUUUUUUUAUCAUUUUAACUAUUGUGAAUAUAGAAAACAACUAUAAUAGAGUUAGCAAGAACGGGUUUAUAUCACACAAAUCCCGGUGUAUGACACACCCAACUUCUCAAGGUUUGCAACCAACUAUCUCCUAAUAUUCCCGCUAUUAUGCUGAAUUGUAAGGUUUCUAUGCCAGAGCAUCUCCAAAAUGGAAUAAGAUUAGGCAUUUAUUAUAUUUCAUGUAAAGUGUGUGUACUUAAGGGGUCUCCUAAAACACAUGUCGAGGAUUGGGCAUCAUUUUGUUAGGAGACCCCAUUUAAAUAGGGUCAAUCUCUACUAGUUUGUAACUUGGAAUAGCAAGAUAGAUACUAGAAAGGGAAAGAGAGCUGGGCAUGAAAGAUAGGAAGCCAAGAACGGAAAGCAGCAUCAAAUUUUGGAGUGAAAAUUAGGCGGGAAAGUCCAGCUCUCUCUAAUACAUGGGAGAUAGGAAGAGAAUCAUACUUUUCUAUCACUACUUAUAUAAGAUUGGACAUUUUGUGUUAGUAGAUCCCAUUUAAAGAGGGGUCAAUCUCUAUUAGUUAGUUAUUUGGAAAACCUAGUAGAUACUUAGAAAGGGAAAGAGGACUGGGUAUGAAGAUAGGAAUGUAAGGCAGUAUUAGAUUAGAAAAUUGGGAGGGAGAGUCCAGUUCUCUCAAAUUCCCGGGAGAUUGGAAAAGAAUCAUACUUUGUGGUAUUACUUUUUUUAUCUCUGUUUUGUACCUUGUUGAUACUGAUCACAGGCUAUUCAUUGCAACAAAAAUUGUUGGUUCUCCCUAUAUCUGGUUGAGUUCAAUCACUUUACUCCAUUUAUUUAUUUGCUUUACUAUUAGUAUUGGUUUAGAACAGUUAAAGUUUACAAUAUUAAAAGACCUUCCUUUUACUGAAAUGUUUGACAGAGUAUGAAGCUCUCAGCAUAUAUAUAUUUGUAUAUAUUCAGAUCUGAAUCAGAAGAACAAAAGAUACGAAAGUAAAAGUCUACACUUAGGAACUAUAAGUCUGACAUCACAGAACAGGUUUUAUAAAAGCUGUACAUUUGACAAUAAUAAACUUUUCUAAAAAACACUAAAGAGGUUCUCUUUGCCUCCAUAUUGUAAUUUUUUCUAAAAGUUAAUUAUCUCAAGAAAAUUUUGACAAAUUUUGGUGAAGUCAUUCAUAAAGGCAUCGGGAAGGAAGCAUAAUGAAAGCAGGACCUUAAGGAGAUGCUAAAUUUUGCAGUAACGUCAUGCUUAUGGAUAGAAAAAGUGCCACUUUUUUGUAUAGAAUGUCAAGGAACCAGUUCAGCUGAGCUGCUGUGAAGAUCAAGUAAUAUCUUCUGAAAAGAAAUAUUCAGUUCUAUCAUGAUAUUAAUAAAUCAUCUAUCCCAGAAGACUUUCUGUUGGACUCAAGGAUUGAACAGACAAAAGUAGUUAAAUAUUACUAGAAUAAUUUGGUUUCUACAUUAGAUUUGGAAAACAAUAGAUCAACUACACAGUUUUCCCACGUCAAAAAAAGCACUAUAAAAAACAAAUUGACACAUUGACAGCCUACAGCCCCAUCACAUCACAUAUACAACAAUAUAACUGUAACACCAUAAAACAUGACUUGUCUAAUACAAAAUUAAAACAAACAUAACUGACAGAUACAACACUAAUGAUCACACCAACAACAUAAAAUAUAACAGCCUAACACUGACUUACAUGGUGUGUCUUUUAUUUUGCCCAACAUAAACCCUCGAAAGAAAGUUAGUUUGUUAAAACUAACUUUAAGGUAGUAGUUAGUGUACUUUUUCAGUUUGUUGUAAACUUGUAGUUUGUUAUAACUGUCCUUUCACAUCAGAUCUAUAUAUAGAUCUCUCUCUUGUGUUGAGAUUAAGAAAAAUUCAGUUUCAAUAAUAUAGAAUAUUAUCUUCUAGUUUUUUUUAUCUCUCUGUACAUUGUAUCCAGAGCUUAAAGAUUGUCAUGGCCAACUCUCCAAUUUCUCAUCCUCCUCCUCCUUCCUCUGUGCCAAUCACAAUUUGGCAGCAAAUCUCCACACAGCUUGAUGAAUCGAAUUUAUCUAUUUGCACCAGUAGGUUGAACCUGUUAUCAAAGCUCAUCAACUUCAACAUUUUCUUGUUUGUCCUUCAAUUCCACUGAAGUUCUCGGGAUGCAGUCAUUCUUAAUCCUGAUUAUGCGGUCUGAGCACAAUAGGACCAGAUGCUUAUGCCCUAGCUCCAAUAGUCUCUUUUCCAAUUCUUUCUCGUGUUCUUGGUAGUGUCAUGUGUACCAAGUUUGGGACAAAACUCAUGACUUUUUUCAGACAGACUCGCACACGUUCUUGCCAGCUGCGAACUGAGUUGUACUCAGCAAUUCUUGAUGACAAGUCAAUGGAAGAAUUUUUUUUCUUUGUGUUAAAGCCUUAAUCAAUGCUCUAGCUUCUGUUGGUGAGUCCACCUCCUAGAAAGAACACAUUGAUCUGAUUCUUUAAAGACUUCCACAAGAUUACAGGGCAGUUAUUUCUGUGAUUUAAACCUCUCCAAAAUGAAAAAGUCGACGGUUGUCACUUGCCCAUGACAUGCGUCUUCAAAGAUUCUGCAAGAAAGUGUUAUCCAAAUCAGCUUGUCAACUUUACUCUAGUCCCUACCUCAACCACACCCUACUAACAAAAUACAGAUCCUAUUGCAAAGAUCAAUCAUUCAUCCCAUGAUAUUGACAUAAUCUUUAAUGGAAAGCAAAACUCUAAUCACAGCCACGGUGGCUGCUGAGGACAUGAUCGUGGUGGUCAGUUUUCCAACAUGCAGUGUCAAUUUGUCAGAUUUGUCUCAGACGUGGACACAUUACUACAACCUGUUACAGCAGAUUGGAUCAAACUUUUCAACCACCACCCUCUUAGAGUCUUCAAGGGCCUUAUCAUCAGAUCACAUAAUCCCAAUAAAUUAGACUUUAGAUCUCAUGAAUGUCUCUUCCUUGACUCUUCCACCUCACACAAAGGUUACAAGUUCCCUCCUUCAACCGGAAGGUUGGACCAACUUGAGUAGAACACUAUCAAUUAAUAAAAGUAAUAAAACAUAAUAUUGAAUGCUAAAUUCACUCACAAUAGAGAAACACAUUUAUUUUCUCAAAGACAACACAUACAAUACAGCAGUACACUUGUUCUCCCAAAGACAAAAAUUCCCUAUAGAGUGUCCUCUACUGGACACAAAAAUUCCCUCCUUGAACUGGCAUGUAGAACCAAAUUGAUAGACACCAACUUAUAGAAUUUAUAAAUAUAAUAUUUAACACUAAAAUUACUCACAAUAUAGCAACACACUUGCUGUCCCUAAGACAGUCUCUCAUCAUAUAAUACUGCAUACACCUGCCAACCCAAAGACAAUCCUAAAAGAGUAUUAUUUGUUCAUAAACUACAAAUAGCUUUACACUUCCUAAUUACAAAGACAAAAAUCUAUCAGAUAUAUACUUAUAAUACAUAACUGCCAUCCAACAACGGUUUCUACACAUAAUCCUAGAGUUUCUAAUACAAAACUGUUUCUAAAACAGUUAAUUCUAUACAUAACUGUCCCUAAGUUUCAUCAUAAAUAUUGGAGAAAAAAUAAAGUAUUAACAUAUUGCAUUUAUAAUAAUUUGUAGCUAUAGUAAAUGUUUUUCCUUUUUUACAAUCAAUCCCCCCAAUUAAGGUCGUGCACAUUUAUUUGAAUUUGGGUUUGAACCUAUCUCAACCUUACAAACUAGUUAAAAGUGAGGGUUUUCCCCCACUUACAUAUGCUAUUAUGCUUGAAACAUGAAUAAUAUGGUAGAUGAUCCUUUUUUCAAUGGAUCAAGAGAAGUUUUGAUACCCUCUUAAAAUUUAGGUUUAAAUUUAACUAAAUUCCACAAAACUGGUUUGCGAUGUGAGAGUUGUCCCCCACUUAUAUACAUUAUUCUAGCCUUGUCUCUAGUCAAUGUGAGGCUUGGGUUUUCCCAAUAAGAUUUUAUCCUUUUCAGGAUAUGAUCUGAUUUUUCUUUGUUUUAUUAGGAUCGCAAUUCGUGUAAACAUUUCAAUAUUUAAACCUGCUUUUUAUCAAAUAUUUCAAUAUUCAAGGAAUGAAAACACUUGUUUCCCUAAUAUUUCAAGUCAAAUGUGAAUUUCCUUGAAAGUUUAAGUUUAUUAAAUAUAUCUAUUAAAUUUUGUAGUGAAGGAUAUUGAUCACACUCGACAUAGGUGAGACUCUGAUAGUCAUGAGAUUUUGAACACCACAAGUUCCAUGAUAAGAUCAUAUUUAGUUCUUUGCUCCCAAACCAAAGGAAAUUCUCACAAUUAGAGAAAAAUCAUCACUCAAAUUCAACUUUAUUUUAAGAUUUAGAAGAUGUUGAUUGAAGAUUCCUAUCUAGGAACCCAUAUUUUCGUUUUAUUGAUGUUAAGUUGUAUAUUUGUUUCAGACACCGAUGACAUUUUAUUGUUAAUUAUGAAAUUGAGUACUGUUUAUCAUUUUUUGAGAAUUUAUAUGUAUAUACUAUAAAUUAUAUUAACAAUAAAAAUUCCAGAACAGCAGUUCUCCCAUGAUUGCACUUUUGAAGUCGACUACUAUUCACUGCUAUAGCACUGCUUUCAGUAACAGCCUCAUUAUUUUCCUUAGCAUGGUUAUGUAACUACUUCUUAAUGUGGGAAGAAAAGUAUAAACAAAAUAUUCCAAGCACCAACGAAGGCUUUAGUAAUAGAAAGUUGCUACUAUAAUCACACCUGAGGAAAAAGAAAGAAACACUCAUUAGGCCGAUGAACAAGGGCAACCAAUGGAUCCAGGUCCGGUGCAACAGUCCUUGCAGCAAGAUGUUCUAAAAUUACUCUCAGUGGUGCACCAAGGACGACCUCUCUUAUUGAUGCAACUUUUACCAAAAAAGCAUGUUUUUGCUCUGCACAAGUUUAACAUCACCAUUGUAAAAGAACAUCAACAACCAAAUAAUUCAAUCAAAAUUCCUUUUCUCUUUUUCAUUAAACCAGAAAUCUCUUGGUUAAUAUAACAGGAAAAUUUGCAUAACCUAACCAGUUUCAUAAAGGGAUGAGUAACCAAUUCUGAACAAUCACCAAACAUUUGGGGAGAAGCCUUCAAAACUACAACAUUAGCAUUAUUAUAAUUUCUACUAAGUACCACAGUCCAAACUGUUAAAAAUCUGAUUUUAUUACAUUAAAUAACGAAAUAUGAUAUGAUUUAAUUACAUCAUUAAGGAAAUAUCUUAGCAAAUAUUUCUCAUUAGUAAUUAUUGAUUCUAUUCCUUAUUACUAUAUAUUUUCAUUAUAAAUAAGAAUACUCAUGAGUGUACAAUACACACCAAAUUCAUCAUACACUAUUGUUUCUCUCUUUAAACCAACAUUAUCCCUAUCAGAUAAUGGAAAAUAUCGGCGACCCCAAAAAUCCUCUAUGGAAAAAUAUCAGAAGCCAUAACAAGUUAUGAAGAAAGCAUAGCGAACAAAAAAAGUACAAUAUAUACACAUAUAAUUAAAAAAAACUACAGAAACAUAAUUGUAAUGCUAAAAUAAUGAAAGACAACCAUAUAAUUAAUAAUAAUAUCAUGUCUAGAAAUUUAAACAACAAUAAAAUAAAAUCAAAAUACCACCAAAUUUAAGUUCUAGACUUGAAAUAAUAACAAAAUACAAGAUAAAUGUUUUAAAUUUCUAAUUAUAUGUUGUGGAUGUUCUUGAACUGCCUUGUUUAGUUGCCAUUGGGGUUGGGGGGGAAAAUGAUCAAAUGUCUAUGAUAUUCAAAGAAUAUUCUUGAGUGGAAAAGAAGAAAAAAAGAAGUUACGGAGAGCGAGUGGCAUUGAACGAAUAGGAAAUAGAAAAAAAAACAGAUAACCAGCGGUGGUAACAAUAGUAGGACAUCAACAAUGUUGUAAUGGGAUGGCCACGGUGGGACAGCAAAGGCGAUGAAAUAGGAUGCCAGUGUUGUUGCACUGGAACAAAAGGAACCAAUGGUAUCGUGGAGUACACGAACCAAAGGAGGUUGUGGGUUGGGUGUAAUUCACAAUUUCCACCAUAGUCAUUUCGAACCACCAAUUUGAGAUGCCCAACACAACCUCUAUGAACCACCAUUCGAAACCCCACAGAAAGUUCGACACUAAAAUCUUCCAUGGAAAUUUUUCGAUAACACUACUCUCAAUAAGGUAUCAAAAGCCUAAUGAGAAGGGAACAUUAAUUUGGGUUUUCCCUAUGGAUCCACUACUCAUCAUAGGCAUUGUUGGAGAUCUCACAUCAACAAAAGAUAUGGUCAAAUUAUAGUGUAUAAGUGGAUCCAAGCAUCACCUUGCAAAUUACUUUUGUGAGGUUAAAUUAGGUUUGAAGUUCACUUUCUAAGAUGGUAUCAAAUUUAGUUUCAUCCUAGUGACCAACGAGUACGUUUGAUUCAUAGUGUUGGUAAUUAGUUGUAAAGUAUAAAUCACUCUAAAGCACUUUAGAAUAAAUAUUAAAUAAAGGUAGUAAGUAGUUGUACUGGAAAACUGCUAUAUAAGUUGAUUCGUUAUUAGCAUCAAUUUCUUGUAUCUUUUAGUGUUCCAGAUGUAAUUUUCUUCGAUAAAUAACAAAGAUCAACUUAGAGAUAAUCAAUCUCUUAAGCCCUUUUCAUCACAUUUUCAGUCUUAAGUCAGUAUCAAAGUAAGUCAAUCCCGCUGUGCUAGUUUUGCGGCAUCUACCCCUAGUAUUGUUUUGUUAUGAUGAACAGCCUCAUUGAGAUACAAUGAAUAUACUGCAUUUUGUUGUUGUCUGUCGUCGGCCAUUUUUUCUUCAACGACCACCUAAUCUGGUGCAUCUCGUCAUGCGACUUACAACCCUCCUGGUCACAUCCACUGGUUCUUUGCCACACCUGCCAUGUGUGUCACCUCCAUCUACUACAACUCGACGCAUGAAGGUCAUGUGCCACCUUCUCGUCACCAGAACAAUUGUGUCUUCUCCAGAAGGCUCGUCGAACUUCCUUAUCCUUGUUUCUUUAGUUUCAGCUUUGGUUGAAAGGCUCCUCUCUCCUUCUCUUUCUCUCAUACUCUUCCUACACUACUAUUUGUCGACUUUUACAGUUGGCAUUGGUUGUAGAGUGUAAAUUGUUGUUGAUAUUUUGAUUAGUGAAUUCUUCCUUCAAUAUGCCUUCCUUUAUUCAAAGUGGAUACAAACGUCCUCAAUGUUCAUUUUUUAAGAGAAUUAACCACACUCAAAAUAGAUGUUUCUCCUUACAUGAUUUUCCUAGCAAGAGAACAAACACCUUUCAAUCUAAUAAGGUUGAACCACCUUUUUCUAAUGAAGAAUAUCAACAAUAUCUCAGUUUGAAGUCCAGCAGCCAAGCACAACUUUCACUAGUUUGUCAACAAAUUGCAUCUCUCAAACCUUAGAAUGUUAAAGUCCAUGGAUAAUUGACUUAGAUGUUUCCGAUCACAUUUCUGGUAAUGCUUCCUUAUUUUCUUCCAUUCUUCAUCCUAAAAUUCCUCAUGUUAUUACUUUAGACAAUGGAUCCAAAGUUACUUCUCAAGGAGUUGGUCAAAUCUUCCUUUCACCGUCUUUGAACCUAAAGCAUAUGUUUUUGUCCCUAAUCGUCUUUUUAACCAAAUUUCCUUAAGUCAAUUGGCACAUACAAUUUGUAUGCUCCAGCUUGAGGGAGAGUGUUAGAUUAAAUAGUCUUAAAUAGUUAAAUAGAAUUUAUUUCAUUUCAUAUUGUCUUCACUCCCUCUCAUACAUUGUAUCUAGUCUACCUAAAGUAGUUACAAAAACGAGAUCCUAAGAGAGGGGAAGACACACUCUAAAUUUCAAAUUCCUUUGUAUUAUUCUCAAGUGAGGUAAUUUAAUAUUGUGGAAAGAAACAAAAGGUUGUGGCAAGAUCAAGUGCAAAAGCAGAGUACAAGGCAAAGACAUUAGUCACUUGUGAGCUCAUAUAGCUAAAACAACUCCUAAAAAAAAGCUUAAAUUUGAAGAAAGUUCCCCAAUGAACCUUAUAUGUGACAACCAAACAACAUUACACAUUGCCUCUAACCUUGUCUUUCAUGAGAAGACCAAACAUAUUGAGGUGGAUUGUCAUUUCAAAAGAGAAAAGCUAGAGUCUAGAGACAUCACCACUAGAUAUGUCAACUCUAGCGAACAAUUGGAGGACAUAUUCACCAAGUCUCCAAGAGGACCAAAGAUUGAUUAUAUUUGCAACAAGUUGGGCACAUACAACUCAUGCUUUGGCUUGAGGGGAAGUCUUCUAAUUAUAGAAACAAGGAACAAAACCCUAUAUAAUAAAAAAUUUAUAUUAUAUAUUAUUAAGAAUAUUUUUAUAUAUUCCUAUAUCAUAUCUUUAUUAUUAGAAGAUAUCAAAUCUCCUCUAUUUAUUGCAUUGAUUCAUUUUCCUCAAUAUAAAUAAAGCAUUUGUGUUGUCUCAGAAACACACAGUUUCAGCUCAAUGUCUCUCUUUCUUACCGAUUAACAAGAUGAACCAGAGUAGGAAACAUAAAAUGUUCAGAAUAUAGAUAACCCAAAGCAUACGUUAUACAUGCCAAUAUCCCAUAUAUGAACUAAACAACCCUAUUCAUUCAGACAAGUGCCCACAUCCAAUUUUUAAAUUAAAACAACUAAGUGGUUCAAUUAUACCCUGAUUAAAAUAUAUAUAUAUAUAUAUAUAUAUUUAAGACGGAUAAAUUUCUGAAGAAAAGAAAGAGUCAAAAGAACACACUAUAGUAAUGAAAAUUUGACACUUGUCAACUGUUCUAAUGCAUGGAAAAACAGUAUCUUAUAAAUUCAGCAUAUGAGGAAAAAUUCCUCCUGGAAAGGGGGGUGGAAAGUUGAGAUGACAUUUUAUACAGAAACUCUUCGUACCUUGAUUUGCCGGAAGCUUUGACAGAUUUAUUUUUAAUGUGAGGUUAAAGCCAUCCCUUGGAGGAUCAAGAAUUUGCACAAGAUUACCAUAUGAAGCUUUUAUUGCUUCAAUGGCUCCAAAAGGAAGCCCACGGACAAAAAUAGUUUCUGAAGAAGGAGUAGGCAGUGAAACGGAUAGCAGCAAAACAUGAGGAUUCUUCAUUGACACCUACAAUCAUUAUUGCUUGGUUAAUGAGCAACCUAAAACUGUCGAAAAUACUUAAAUUUAAUUAAAACUGUCAAGGGCUAAAUUUAACCAUGCAUAUUAAAUAAAAAAGGUAAUCAUCGAUAUAUUUUCCUGACAACUGUCUCCAUAAAAAAUGUUACCUGAAUAUGAUAUCGAACAUCAUCAAAUUCAACCCAGUGGUGAUCCAGUUCAACUCCUUUUUCAAGACUGAAAAAAUUGACCAACAUUAAAAUUGUGUAGAUCAUUAAAGUUGAGAUCAGAUUUCACAAUAAUUUGUUAAUGGCUAAUUAGCAUGAGGAAGGGAAACAAUAGACUUAGCAGCAAGAAGUGCAGUUCAAUUGUGGUCUCUUUAGCCGAAAGUAUAUAUUACCACAAAUUGUAUAAUUAGAUGAAAUCAAAGUCAACAAUUACCCACUUCACACAAAUGGAACAAUAGAAUGGGUUAAAAAGCUUUGCCAAUUAGCAUCAAGUUUGUUCACAUUGAAAAGUAGCCACACUUCAUUACAUAGAAUUUUCUGACCAGAUUCCCUCUUGGGUCUCCUUGACUCCAAGCCUAUAUGCUAGAAGGGGGAAUCACAUUGGCACCAAGAAAGUGCCCAGACCACAGUAAUCAAGUGUGUUUGACUUAGUCAAUUUUUGCAGUGGAAAAUAAUCAAAUUUUCAUUGAGUGGAAUUAACUUUGAGAAAAGUGACAUUAUUUUAUUGUUCGGAGAGUAAAAUUGAUUCCACUUUUUACUAGACCCCUUUUUAGCAUAUCAUUCCCAAAUUCAAAAAAAAAAUCUAAAUUUUCCAUCUUUCCUACCUUUUGUGCUGAAAUUCCAACACAAUUUAUUUCAUAUUUUACAAAGCAAUAAUAAUAAAGGAUUCCGAUCUCCAUUCUCCACUUUCUUGUCUUAGCAAGGUAGUCUCAAUAGUCUUUAUGUAUUUCUAUCCAUUAACAAUAUGAGAUUGCUAAAAGGAAAAACAACGGCUAGGGUGGGAGAGUGUAGCAUGCCUCCAACCAAGCAAAAGCAUUUUAUACUCACCAUCAGCUUAUCUCAUUUAGAAAUCAAUGGUUGUGAUUUUCUUCUUUUAUUUUCCUAUACUCCUUUCUCUCUGCUAUUUCCCAUUACCCCUUUUACAUCUUCCCUUUCUUCCCCUCUUUUACCCUUUCCCACACCUCCUUUCCCUCUUCUUCUCAACCAAAACAGCAUGUCAAUGGCACCCACAACCUUUACAAUGUCACUUUCCACCACCGUCACAGCCUCAUAGUGGACGUGGACAAUGAGUGGCAUUCCAACACUCCCCACAACAUGCAAAACCCACUGUUCCCUUGUGUUUUCUCUAUUUCACAGGUUUCACCCCACGAUGGAAAACCUUCCAGAAGGUGUCAGUCUCAAUGCACACAUUGAUGAUUUUGAGUUGUUGGAGUUGGAGAUACAACAAGCUCACAUCCACAAAGCUUGCACUUUAACUGUGCAAGUUGGUUUCUGUCAGGACCUUUUUAUCGAGACAAAUGUGCAUAAUAAUGGUAGAGUAAUGGAAGCUUAUACUGCUAAUGAAGCUUAUUGUGGAAUAGCAUCAGAUGGGAUUUUAGAAGAAAUGAAGAAGAGGGGAAGCAAGAGAAAGAAGAAAGAGAUAUAAUGGGAAUGAUAGGGAGAAAAAGAGAAAAGAAAAAAUAAAUGAAAAUAUCACAGCCACUGAUCUUUAAUUAGAUAAUCUGACGGAUAUAAAACCCUUAUGGUGGCAGACAUGCUAUACUCUCCCAGUGUAACCUUCAUCAAAAGAAAAAUAGAUACAACUUAAAAACUGCAAAGCACUUUUGUGCCAAAUGAAAUUUCCAAAGAAAUUUUUGGUGGUUGACAUUGCUGUGAUGCGUCAUCUAAUUAAUCAUGAGUACUAUAUUUAUUCAAAAAGAAAAAAAAAACACUUAGUAGGGUCUCAUCCACUCAAAUUUCCCUUACUUCUUAUAUAUUCAACUGCACAUUUAAACCUGUUUUGUUGAGGGUGUUCACCCUCAAACUUCUAAACUAGGUCAUGUAUUGGCCACUCUCUAUCAUUCUCAAAAAUGGGUAUCAUUGCUUCCCUCCAAAACUCAGAUCAUACUUGAUAUUUGCUGCAAUUACAUUCUUUGAGUCCGCCUAAUUCAUUAUGGUGUUCCCUCAAAAUCUCCAUCCCAAUAUUGAUGCCUUGAACCUGAUAUUGUGUAGAAGUUGUAUAUCGUUGUUGUAGGAAGAGUUCAGGUUCUAUCAAAUUAUCUGAGAGCCCGUAUUUGUUCAACAAUUUGUUCUUUAAUUAAUCUCUCUCACUGAUAGAAUCUCUUCAAAAACAUUAGAAAAAUAGCUCACUUGGUCAGCUUCUCGUUUACUACAUCAUCCUCACACAAUCCAAAGCCACUAACAUUCCCAUCCAUCACCCAGAAAUCACCCUUGUUAAUUUAUUUGGUUAGCUAAAGUGUGAAGUUGAUACCACAUAUUUUCAAGUCAAAUAAAAAAGGAACACAACCCAGCAGAAUCUUUCCAGAAUUCAAAAAAAUAGCAAACUAAUCAGAAAUUAGACUAAAAUUCCAUCAACACAGGACACAUUCCAUACUCCAACAUUUCAACAAAAUUGAUUGAGUUACUUCAAUCUUACGCUUAACAGUUCUCCGGCAAAACCAUCAUUAUAGAUAACACAAAUAGUAUUUAAUACAUAAAACUGAUAAGAUAGAGGACCUCAGGCACACUUGUUAUGAAACUAAAAACCAUAACCUAAAUACACCAAAUUUCCAGAAGAAAAGGGGUCCUUAUAGGCAUCAUCGAUUCAAAGAAAUCGAAUUCCAACUUCGAGAAAGCAUAAACCAUUGGGCGAAGGGUCACAAUUCAUGAAUAUGUCAGUCAUAUAUCGAACACGCCUUGACCCACUCAACCUUCCUACGAUGAAAUUCAAUUUCAACUCUCGAGAAAGCAUAAACCAUUGGGUGAAGGGUCACAAUUCAAGAAUAUGUCAGUCAUAUAUCUAACACGCCUCGACCCACUCAACCUUCCUACGAUGAAAUUCAACUUCAACUUUAAACAACGGCCCUUCUUUCACAAAGCUUGAACACUGAUGAAUGCUUACACAUCCAAGAAAAACAAAACCCGCAAUCCCUUAUCACUGAGACUCCGUGAACAUGAAGUGGUUGCGAAUAAGAAAGCCAUGAAUGUAUGAGAGUCUAGAAUGAUUUGUGGCUAUAGAGAAGAAGAAGAAGAAAGAACGUACUUCUGUGCCCGAUUCAACAAGGUCUGGAGCAAGAAUCUUGAAUGAGACUGCAGGAGUAUCAUGGAUCCCUCUGGCGGUGUUGCAAGAUCGAAGCGAGGGAUUGUUUUGUUGGUGAUUGGGAUUGAGUUUUGGAGCAGAGCAGAGAAGAACCAAAAUCAUGCGUCGUGAUGUGAUUGAUGACGACGAUGAUUGAUUCGGUCAUUCAAUUCUUCUCUCAUGCUGCCAUGCCCUACCUAUAUUAUUAUUACUCUUUCUUUUACUAUCUAAAUAUUUUUAUUUAUAUUCUAACUUCAACUUCUUCCACUAUCACUAACUUAUUCAUAAUUCAUAUAAAAUAAAAUACAUUCAAAAAUUACUUCCAAUCAUAAUCUAGGAAAUCAGAUUCAUUAUCAUUUUUGCAACCAUACUAAAUUAAAAUAUCUUUCAAAAAAUAAUUUAUUUUAUAUCCUUCUAAAAGAUUCUUACACGAACUCUUUUAUUAUAAUAUAAUAUACGUAUAUAUUUAAGAUAAUCAUUUUGAAGAAUUCACAACAUAAAUAUAAAUAUAAAUAUAUAUAUAUAUAAUAUAACAAAAUUGUUGUAUUUUGAUUAAUUAUUAACUAAGUACUUGUGUAGCAAAUAAUUUAUUUUAAUUUUUUUUUUAAAAUUAUAAGAAGAUAAAAAAUACCUUUUUAUUUUAUAAUGAAAUCAUUUUUAAAUGUUUUUUUUUUUGUUUUAUGUUAAGAUUAAAUUAAAGAUUUAGACAGGGACAUUAAAAUGUCAAUUUAUAAUCAAAUAUUAUCAUAAUAAUGUUUUUUUUAUAUAUAAAGUUUUCAUGCUACUUGACAUUUCAACUAGACUAAUACUUAAGUAACAAAAUUUUUUUGUCAUCAUAUGAAAAAAAUAUUAUUAAAAAAAGAAAAAUAAAGAAAAUAUAAAAAUAUCGGAGACUAGACUAAAACACAUGUUAACAAAAGAUAAAUUAUACCUAUUAAUAAAAAAAUUCUAAGAACAAACUAAAUGAAACCUAUUAUAUAAUUUUCUAUAAAUAAAUCAUAAAUUAACCAACUUAUCAGCACACGUAUUUUCUUAACGAAAAAUUCCUAAACUUGAUUUUUACACAGUAAUUAAUACAAGUAUUUCAUCGAGUACGAAGCAUCCAAGAAACACAGGAACAUUUGUCAGAAAAUUUCUCUUAAAUUAUAAUUUUGAAUUUGAUUUUAAAAUAUAUACUUAUUAGCAAGUGAUACAAAAUUAUAUUGAUAUUCUCGUAUUUUAUUUUACAUGUGAUUAAUCCUUAUUAGACAUUUAAAUAAUGUUACGUCACUCUUAACACAUGAGAAUCACAAUCACUUACUAUAAAUAAUUGAGAUUAAAUUAAUUAUAUUUACACAUCUAAUUAAGUAAGAGCAUCUUCAUCAAUUAUUUAUAGGUUGGUUCCUUAAUUUUUUUUAUCAAUCUCACUCAUACAUUUACUUAUUUAUUUUUGUUUUUAAUUUUUAAGCAACUCUCUAAUUUUUGAUACACAUCUCCUUUGUAUUCAUUAUUAUUCUUGAAAUUAGCGUCUUAGGUAUUCUAAAGCAACUAUCCACCUUAUUAUUUUUUAAUGGCAUAACUAAGAAGCAAUUUAUGUUUAAUAUUAAGCAUCAAUUAAAAACCCUUUUCAAAAUAUUGUUAAUUAUCUCCCAAGGUCAUAGUGAUCAUUCUAAUUGUAAACAUUUAUGUCACUGUUAAAAAGUCAUUAAAUAAAAAUUAAUUUUAGAAAAAAAUAAUUAUUAUUAUAUUGAUUCAAUUAUAUAUUAUUUUAUAAAUUAAAAAAUAUUAUAAUUAAAGUAGUUUUUAUUAUUAUUUAAAAAAUUAUAAAUUAAUAUUUAAUUAAUUAUUAAAAUUUUAACUAUCAAAUUAAUUUUAUUUAAAUAUUGUUUUAUAUUACAUAUUGACGUGAGGUUAAUUUUUUUAUCUUAAAUAAAAUCUAAGUUCUUAUAAUAUUCUUGUAUCGAAUAUUAUAAAUAAAAAUUGUUUGCAGCAGAUUUUAAAAAGAAAUUUUAUAAAUAUUUAACUUUAAAUGUAUUUAGGAUUAUGAAAGAUUAAAUCGAUAAUUUUAAAAGUUAAAAGACGAAAGUAAAAGAAACGGCAUUGAAGUGGGAGUGAUGGAAGUGGAAGGUCGGCGAAUUAGGAGAUUUGCACCUCAAAGGCCCUCACACCGCACUCUUCUCCCACUUCACGCUUCUUCCUCUUCCAACUCUUCCAAUUUUUCCAAUACUGUUUCCUGCUGGUAAAUCACCUUCUAUAAGAAAAUGAUAUAAUUAUUAUUUCCUUAAUACUUAUUCAAUUACUUAUUUUUCUUCCAUCUCUGCCACUCUAAUUUCGCUAAUGUCUAAAUGCAGCUAUUGCGACUACAAAAUCUCCUCAUUCAACAAACCUCUUUUCCACUUUGGUCGCCGAUACUCCAGGUCACACUCUCUCUUCUGCAUUCACGCACCGUUCUGCGUUUUAUUCAAUGUUUCUUACACUUGCUUUCUUAUGUAUCUUAUAGGUUUUUCAAACUAUGGUUUUCGAUUGGCGUUGGCUUUGCCCUCUCUGCCUGCCUUGGAGUUACUCUGGUGAGAAUUUCGGUGUUUCUCACUUAUUUUUUCCAUAUUAAAUGCUUGAGUCGAAAGUGAACUAGUUUUGUGCAAUACAGCGUGUGGUACUAGUUAUGGAAUGGUGGAAAUUGUAGUUAAGGUUCUGAGUAUACAUUUAUUCGAAAAUCUAAUCAAUCCUUGAAUGUGUAUUCCAUUUGUCAAAUUGGUUAUCGAGAUUUGUGACUCGAGGACUAAUUUGACUUGAGAAAUGCAUAUUCGGGGAAUCUAAGUGCAAUUUUCAUCAUUGAAUUACUAGUACGACCAGCCGUAGGGGUCUAUUUGGAUUUUUUUUUUCACUUGUAAGAGAAAAAAAUGAAAUAAACUUUUCCAUAAGCACACAAGCUAAAUUUAGCUUAUGCAUAAACUAAUUAUGAAAGCUCUUUUGUAUUUGUUUCUCUAAGUAGAUGGUUUUUACUUUGCACUUAUAGAGAAGUUUAUUUCUUCUUCUAGAAGUGCUUGUGGCGAAAUUCAUUCAAGCAGGUUAUCUUUGAGGGACUACUAUGGCUAUUUGCCCUGAAUAUUUUCUUUUUUGGAUUUCAAUUAAUCUGUAUAACACCGCACAUGUCCAGAUUCUUCUUUGGGAACUAGCCAGAACAUUGCAUCUCCGCGGUGGCAGCAUUAGGCUUGGAAGCUUUGGCAGUACCUUGCUGUUUGGCUUACCUCCCUUGGUUGGCAACUUUAUUUCUCCUUCCUUUCAAAUUUAAAUUAGUGUUUUUUUUAAAGGAGUAAUCAAUACAAGGAAAAUGUAUGGCAACACUAAAAUGACCACAUGGAAAAUGUGAAUAAUCUUUUUCUGUCAUUAAUAUGAUCUAGAGAGGGUCAAUAUAAGGGAAAAGUAAAAAAACCAAAAGAAGGUGAAUCAUUCAUGUUCUCAUGGUAAGACAACACUAGCUGAAGUUAAUUACUAGUGGGCAUUAAAGAAUACAUAAUAGGAAUUAAUGUAAGGGUUUGCAUAAUUUAGUCUAUAAAAGGAUGAAUUUGUAUUGCAAUGAGGGAUAUAUAUGAAUUUUGAAAGAAAGUUGAGUUUUUUCUUUUUGAGAAUUUUAUGGAAUUUUGAGUUAUAAGAACCCAAAUAUGAUCUUAUUAGGGUAAAUGAUCUCUCACUUUCUCAUCCUUCUUGAGUGUGGGAUUAACAUCCUUCCCCAAGCUGAAUAGCAGAAUGACUCCCUUCAGUUUUUUCAUCCAUCAUGCACUUAAGAGCUUAAUAAUUGCAUCCUAUGCAGGUGCCCGGGUUAAGUUUAUCACUUGCUGAUGUUGGGUACGCUUGUGUUUCUACCAUCAUAUCCGUCUUUGUGCAUGAAUUUGGCCAUGCAAUUUCUGCCACGAGGUCCGUUGUCUUCACAUUUUCCCUCUCUGGUUAAAACUUUGAGAUAUUAUCUACUAUUGUUGUGUUAUCAGCUGUUAAGUUUUGUUAUUCUUUUAUUUAAUAUGUGAUCAUGUGAGUACCAAGAAUUGAAUAACCCAGAAUUUAGUUUUUGCUUGAAAUGAUGAAAGGUAGAUUCUCAUGAUUUAACCUUUUCAAUGAAAAGCAGUGAGGGAAUACAAAUAGAGUACAUUGCCAUCUUCAUUGCAAUACUAUUUCCCGGUGCACUGGUUGCCUUCAAUUAUGAAUUGUUGCAGACUUUUCCUCAUUUAACUGCCCUCCGUGUGUAUUCUGCUGGCAUUUGGCACAAUGCAAUUGUAAGUUUAAUAGAAUAUGAGCCAUUGAUACUAAUAUCAAGGAUGGACACUUGAACUACUUGAUAACCUUUUUUUAUGUGUUCUAGAAUUUAAGAAGAAAUUGAAAAUAUAUACUUGUUAAUGAAGGGAAAGCAAUAUGUAAUGUUUCUUGAUUGGUCUAGUUAAACUAAAUUUGUUCUAUUUCACUAAAUUUUAGCUCAUCGCAGUUGUUUUAGCCAUAUAAUUUGAUGGUUUUCAAGGCUAUGACUCAAUUCUUAGGAUCUGCACUAGGCCUAGUUGUUUAAGCUUUUCAGAGAGCUGAUCCUUGCUUGUUGCCUCUAUGUCCAAUUAUUAUAUCACUUUUUAUGUUUACAAGUAAUAAAACAUGAUAUAGCGAUCAUCAAAAAAUCUUUUCAAGGCUAUGGAUCAAUACCAAAGUAGCCAUCAUUCUGCUAUAGUGUUUUUGGAGUUGGCCUCUAUCCUGUGCCAUCCAGGAUUUUGUUGAUUUCAAGAUGCCAGUUAAGCUUUUAAAUUGAGGAUUGCCUUUAAAUAUGAUUCGUUCUGAAUAGUCAAUAACACAACUGAAUUUUGGGUGUAAGGAGGGGAAAACAUUGGGGGAGUCUCUCCUUAUUUUCUUGUAUCUCUGUUCCUUUUCAUACAAUCUGUUCAGUACCUUUUUCUGAGAUUUAUUUUCAGAUUCCGAACAGACUCCUUCAGGUGUUUGAGAGACCUGGCCUCUCAAUCCCAGUUCCACUCCUAAGCAACCCCACUUCUAAUUCUUCCUUCUCUUACCCUCUUCCCCUUUCAGUUACGUCUCUAAUCAGCUAAUUUGUACACUAGUUUAUGUUACUAACUGAUUCAGGCCUGCUGAGGAUUCUAACAUUGAGUUAAACCAAUUAGGUGAAAUUAUAUACUGUAUUUUUUAAAUAUUAUAUGAUAAACUAAAUAAUAAGCUGACAUAAAAUCUAUGUAAAAAAUUUAGGUGAAUUUAUAUUUAGCAUCAAUAGAUCAUAUUGUUCUGCAAGGUAAAUAGUAAUUAUAUAAAUGCGAAUUUGACUGAUAAUUAAAUAAUUUUAUAUUGAUUAAAUAUGUUUAGGAUGUACCGUAUAAAACAGAAACUACAUAGAAGUUAUCAAUCAAUAUAUCUGACACCAUGUACAAAGGCUUGGGUUCAAUAGUGAUAUUUUGGUAAAAAUAAAAUUGAACUGGUUUUCAAUCCAACUAUGACUGGCUGUGCGUGGUUCAGAUGGUUUGAACCUGGUGCGACAGUUCAAUGACCAGUUUUUAAAUACUGAUUUUAGUGGCUAGACUGAACUGAUCAAAGGACUGGCUCACAGUUGAAUCAGUUGGCUAGACUACCCUGGUCCAGUUUUCUCAAUCAUGAUGACAUCAGAAUAAAUAUAACUCAUCAAAAUCUUGCAUGAAAACAAUCCUGUAUGGUGAUAUUCUAACAGACCGUAAGAAGUGCAAUAUGACUUUUGGAAGAAAUCCUCUUGUAAAGUUUAUUAAUUAGGGUAAGUUUCAUUCUAUUCUGCAUUCGUGUCAUUCGAUCCCGAGUUUCUAUCCUUAUAUUUGUGGGUGUCUCCAUGUCUUCAGUUUUAUUUUAAAAUGAUCUAGAUUGCUAAUUUCAUUUCUACACCUUCUACAUUUUUCUAGUGUUGUGCGGCUUGCGGACUGGCAUUAUUCUUCUUGCCCAUGAUCUUGUUUCCCUUUUACAGCAGUGGUCACAAUCCCAUGGUACAUUUUUAAAAUCAUUUUAGGUUUAUCAUUUUCUUUGGUUCUUAUAUAUCUGGCCCUUUCUUUUUACAUGUUGGUGGCUUCAUGGGAGCAGGUUUUGGAUGUACCUGCAACCUCACCUUUGUCUGGUUAUUUAGCUCCUGGUGAUGUUAUUCUAUCGAUAGAUGAUGUAGCCAUCAGAAAUGCGCAAGAAUGGUUGAAGCUUAGUACGUUGACAUAUAACGCCAAGCUUGAUAAUGUAAAUCUUUCUCAUCGUUCUGGAGACUUGGAGAUUGUCAAUAAAAUGAAGGGUUACUGUGUCCCUAGUUUUAUGAUGGAAGAAAUCAAAAUUACCAAAUUUCUGGGAAAUCAACAUGUUUGUCCCAGUGAACUUACUGCCUUUGUAAAAUUAUGCUCUGUUAAUGUUACGCUUCAUGACGGUCAGAACGAAACUGAUCGUUUGAAAAAUGGAAGGAGUAUGUACUGCAUAAAUGCUAAAGAUGUUGUCAAACGUAAUAGGUGCGGUGAUGACAGCGGACUAGCCACAUUAAAGGGAGGUGGCUGUACGUGCGCUCAGGUAGACAAUUAUUUUAACGUGUGAACUUACUAAUUUAUGUUAAUGCGUCUACUCCGUUCCUUUCACACUAUACUUCAACAUUUAAGUAAAUCAACUAGCUACUGAAUGUUCUUGAUAUUUUUCACAGGAUGAAUUUUGUUUAGCUCCAGUUCAGGAGCCUGGAUCGGUGUGGGUUGAGAUUGCAUAUUCAAGUUCUUCUCAUGAAUGUUUGUCACAUGAACAAAACAGGUUUCCAUUUUCUGAAACCGCCGGUGUUAAGGAAACUAAUUGUGGUGGGACUUUUAUUUUUGUUGGUGAUGUCGUCUCUAUGGCACAUUCAAUUAAGCUAACAUCGUAUCAGCCUCGCUGGGGACCACAAAUUGUUGCAUAUUUUCCAAGUAUACUGGAAAGGAUAUUAAUAUGGACAUUUCAUGCCUCUCUAGCGCUGGCUCUUCUCAAUGGUUUGCCUGUAAGUGAUGAACAUUUUCUUCCUUAUGUUAGGGUAUAAUUGAUGUUCACUGGAUUAUUAGAAUACAUCUACCUUCUGCACAUUGUGAUGAAUUUAAUGGGUUUGUAGGCCAGUAAUAUGUUCGGUGGGUUCUAAUUAAAGAACAUGGUAGUCCUUCUACGAAAUUGUUACUAAAAUUGUUAACUGUAUGUUCUUUUUUGUUGCUUCCAAUGCUGUGUUUAAGGAGUGUUUUGGGGAGAAAAUUAGAUUAGAUUCAUAGAUCUGAAAACAACAAUAGUCACUUUAUUUUUUUUUAAGUUAGGUUAAAUUAAUAUGCAAUUCACUAAUAUAGUCGGCAAUUUUAAAGUUUAGGGUUUAGGUCCCUAUACUUUAGAAGACCAUAAUUGGAUCCUUAAACAUAUACAUUUUUUUAAUUGUGUUGUUUACUAGGGUGACAUUAAGGUUUUGCAGGGUUCCAUCAAGAAGAGGACUAAUUGAACAUUCUUAAACAGUUCAGGGAUUUAUUAAAAAACUAAACUAGCUGCUUAAACUGUUUAAAUAUUUUCAAUUAGGUCCCUGCUCUCGAUGGAAUAAUUCUGAUGGAACUUAGUGAGGGUCCCCAAUAAAAUUGAUUAAUAAAUUCAAAUACGUAGUUACAAACUUUAAGAGACUUGUUUAAAAAUUCCUAAAUAUGUUGGAUAGUUUUCAAAUCUUCUUGAGUAAUUACUGUUUAGGCAAGAAUGACGUGUACUUCAUAGCAAAAGACCUAGUGAAAAGGAGAAUUGUAUUUAUCUCAAUUUGCUCAUUGUUAGCUAUGAAGCUCGGACACUCCUCUUAAAUGGCGUGUCGGUGUCUGAUACGAGUAUCGGACACCGACACUCGUAUGACACCUGUAGGACACGUAUCCGUGAAGUGUUCAAUUCAAAAAAUAUUUGUUAGAUUUAUGACAAUUCUAGUACAGUUCUAACACAAUUUUUAAAAUGAAAAAUACAUUAAUUUUCUAAAAAUUCAAACUUUAUUGUAUAAAUUGUUAUUAUGAUUAUAAAAAUAAGAAACAAAUCCUUGUGAACCAGUCAUGAAAAAUAUCUUUCUGCUCCAAAAAAUAAUCUGGAACAUUCUUGUGAACAUAAAUAUUUAUUGUCAAUUUAUAUAAUUCAUAACUAUAUAAUAUAUAGAUUCGUGUUUCCGUGUCCUAUAUUUUAAAGAUUUUACGUAUCUCCAUGUCCGUGUCUGUGUUGUGUCAGUGUCUAUGUUACAUAUUGUUAGUCAAAGAAACUGCUAGUUUUUCUAUGCUUUGCUAGUUGACAUUUAAAGAAAAUGAUUUGGUUUGUUUAUUCCCUUAGAAACUGCUUUUAUUGAUGGAAUGACCAAGAUUGAAAGGAAUGUAGAAUAUGUGAAUCCCUUUUUAAGUAUUACUUAGAAGAUUCUAUUAUGCUUCUAUUGAAUUUCCUCUUAUAAUGAUGAUAUUAUCAGGUCUAUUUUCUGGAUGGUGAAUCUAUUUUAGAUGCAACUUUGUCCCACUAUACUUCGCUUAGCCCUAGGAAGAGGAAGAAGGUUCUUAGACUAUGCCUUCUUGGUGGCUCACUUGCUUCUAUUAUUGUCUGUUUCCGAGAACUACUUCACUUGUCUUUUUUUUAAUAUCACCAUUUUCUUAAAUUUUUCUUUGAUGAGUAUGAGAACAGUUCAACUCCUUGCACAAAGAUGGACUGUGUAAAUAUUUGGUUUGAAAUCUGAAUUUAUCAACUUCACACCCACACUGAAAAUCAUGUAAUUUUCAACAGAAUGUGAUAUUCAGCAAUCUAACCUUUGAAUUAUUAAGUAAUAACUAGUUACCGUAUUAUACUGAUUCAUAAAUAUUGUAUACUGUACUUGCAAUUUUCUUGCUUUUGUGUAUGUGUAUUAGAGAAAUCAUGAGACUGUAUUAAGUAAUAACUAGUUACCGUAUUAUACUAAUUCAUAAAUAUCUUAUACUGUACUUGCAAUUUUCUUACAUACAAAAUUUUUGUAUGUGGAUUAGAAAAAUCCUGAGAAUGUAUAAACUAUUCAAGUUGAUUCAAACACUUAAAGGUCACUAAUAUUUAAAUGAGUUAAAUCUAAGAUUUAAGCCUCUUAAAAAUAUAAUGAAACUUUAACACCACUUGUUUAGCUUUUUAUGAUUUUUUAUGGUUAAAUAUGUUCUUUAAACUUGCAGGAAGUUUGUUUUUUGUUCUUCAAAUAUUUUUUUUUGAUUUUUUGUAAUUUGAAAAAAAAGUUGGUUUUAGUCUAUCCACACGUCUUUUAUUUAAACCACAUCAACACAAAAUACUUUAAAAUAAAAAUUAUAUGCAUUUAAACCACAUCAAAAUAAAUACUUUAAAAGAAAAAGUAUAUGCAGUAAGGUGUUUAACGAUAAUAUAUUUUGAAUUGGAAAAAUUACUUUGUUCUAUGAUAAGAUUACAGAAUUGAAAUAAGUUGUUAUUUUAGUGAUCUGGAAUAAUCUGGAAUUUCAAAUUACAGAAAUAAAUUGAUCAAUUUUUAAUUUUCGGAAUCUAAAUUUAACUUCAAAUUUAAAUAAGUGUGUAAAUAUAAACACAAAGGAAGGUGUGAGAGUGAUGAAAAUCAUGGGGUGCAUAAAGACAUUAUAGAGGUGCAGGAACCAUACCCAAGAAAACGUUAUUUUAAGCCCAAUUUCCAAAGUUUUACAAAGCUUAUUAUUUGUCUUUUUGGGCAUUCACCCUUGGUAAGGUUGUUUCUUCAUGCACCUCCAUAUAUUUCUUUCGCUACCCUCACAGUAAAUGUGAAAAUAAUUUUUGUUCUUCAGUAGAAAAAUAAAUUAAUCUUAAAACUUCACACACAAUUUUCACCUUCUGUUUUGUUUCAUUGCAGUACCUCCAAGUCACCCAUUUGUGCUUAUUGAAGGUUUUUUUAGUGGUUCUUUACACAAGGCUCUUUCUUCGUGCACCUUCAUAUAUUCUUCUCCCACCUCCAUAAAUUUUUAUAUUUCCAAACAUAACCCUUUGUAAUAUUUCAUAUUACAUAAUCUGUAAGUCUUUUUUUAAAUACAUAAUUAGUUUCUGGAUUACAUAAUCUGUAAGCCUUUUUUCAAAUGCAUGAUUAGUUUAUGGAUUAUGUAAUUCAGAAGUCUUUUUUAGCUUUCAGAUUACAUAAUCUAGAAGUCUUUCUUCAAAUGUGUGUUUAAAUUACAUAAUUCGGAAGCUAUUCUAUGGGAGUGACACAAAAAGGUUAAAAAGAUAUUUUCACGUUGUGUAUAGGAGUGGCAGAAGAACCUAUGGAAAUGCAUGACGAAACUGUCUUUACACGAUUUGGGAGUGUUUGACAGUCCAUUUGUACUUUUAUAGUAGAAAAUGUUAGUUUUAAGUUGUAAUUUACUCUUUUCUUUUUCUUGUAUUGAUUUGUUAUUGAUUUAAACGUUUCUCAAAUUUUUAUUUCAAAGAUACUUUGGAUUAUUCAGAAGAAUUUUUGGAUCCAAAAGUAUUUUCCAAAAUAUAUAUACAUAUUACAUAAUCUGAAAAAUUCUCUCCAAUCUAAAUAUAACCAUAAUAUUUUUUUUUUAAAUAAUAGUCUCGAUUACAUAAUUUGAAAACCUUUCACCAAAUUCAAAUUAGCUAAAUUUAAAAUAUAUAAAAAAUAUUUUCAUAUUCUAAAUUUUAUAAUCUUGACCUAAAAUCUUUUGAUCCAGACAAAAAGCUUUCAAAAAAUUUUAUAGUCCUAUUAAAAUAGUUGAAAGUCUUUGUUCUAAUCUUGAAUCUUCUCAUUAUUUGAUUCCUUAUGACUCUUCUCAACUCUACACUCAUUUUUCAGAAGUUGCUCAAUCAACUUUCUAAUCAUCUUUUUGUUAGAGAUAGAAGAUGACGUAACAAAUAAUAAUAAAAACUCACAAAUAGAAGAUGAAAUAAAAACAAAGUAUAAAAGUUUCUUUGGAAUUCUUUAGCUUUUGAAAGAGUGUGGACUAAAGAUAUUGGAAAAUUGAAAAGGUAAAAUGCAAAAAGAUUAAAAAACGUGAAUCUACAAGGAAAAUUCCAUAUCAAAGAGUUUGAAACAAUAGAAUGUUUGAAAAAGGAGUGAUAGGACCUUUGAAAACUUGUUGAUAGAAAUUGACAAAAAGAAUCCAUUAGAUUUAAUUUGUUUCAGAUUGAUUAAAUAGUUGAAUUGGAAUUGAAUUUAAAUUUAUGUUUUUUUAAAAAGUUUGAUUUUUUGUAAAUCUAAAUUUAAAUAACUGGAUUGAAAUUUAAAUUUCUAUUUUAAAAAAUAAUUUUGAUGUUCAUAAAUGGAUUUAAUAUCGAUUUUAAGAUUACUAUUUUUUUAAAACCAAUUUUAAAUUUUAAAAAUUUAGAAUCAAAGAUAACGAAUAAAUAUUAUGAAUAUUACACAUAUAAUAUAUGAAAAUAUAAAAAUAAAUAUUGUUUGAACUUCAAAAUCUAUUUAACAUAAUAAUAAUAAGCAAUAUAAUAAUAAUAACAUAUUUAGUCUAUUUAAAUAAUUAUUAAUUAGAAAUAUGUAAAUAUGUUUUGAUAUAUACCCUUCAUUGUAUAUUUUAGGUAAUUAAAUUUUAUAAUUAUUAGUACUCUAAAAAUAAAUAAAUAAAUGGAAACUUUAUAAAGUAUAUAUAUAUAUAGGUAAAAAUGAGAGUUAUAAUUACCAUUCAAUAUUUAAAUAAAUAUUUUGUGUUAAUUAUAUUUUUUAUUUACGUGAAAUUAGGAUGAGAAGAGAGUGGAGUGAAAGCAAGUUUGAAAAUAUUUAUCUCGUCUUUAAGAUAAAAAUGUAUUUAUUUUUCGUCUUCAUACUUAACUUUCUACCGAUCUUAAAUUCAUUUUCAUUAAAUUAUUAUAUGUUUUCUUCAUACUAUAAGAAAAUCAUCAAAUAAAAAUUAAUUUUAGCAAAAAAACAAUAAUUUGUUGUUAUAUUGACUAAAUUAGAUACUAAAAUUAAUUUUGAUUAUAUAAAAAUUAAAAUAUUUUUUAAUUUUUAAAUUAAUUUCUAUUAUUUAAAAAUAAUUUCUAAAUUGAUAUCUAAUUAGUUACUAAAAUUUUUGUUACCAAAUUUAGAAUAUAAAUAAUUAAUAGUUAAAAUAUUAGUAAAAACUAUUUAUUAAUAAUAGAAACUAAUUUAGAAAUUAAUAAAUUUUUUAAUCUCUAAAAUAUUUCUAAUUUAGUCACUAUAACAACUAAUUGUUUUUGUCUCUACAAUUAGUUUUUAUUUAGUAAUUUUCUUGUAAUGUCGUGUUCUAAAUAUUAAUUAAUAAUUUUUAAUAAAAAUAAAAAUGAUAAUCGUGGAACAUUGAACAUCAAAUAAUACACACUUUUUUUCAACAUCAGAUAUAAAAGUAAAAAUAUAACAAAUGUACAAAUAUAAAAAUUUAUGUAAUAUAUUAAACAUGAUUCUUUCACUUAGUCAAUUUUUUUAAGCAGAAAAGAUUUGUAAUACUCCUAAUAAUUGAUUAAAUACAUGCAUGCAUACCAAACUUACAAUUAUUAACUUACAAUGAUUAACACAUUUAUUUAACUAUUGGAUUCAAAUUUUGAGACGUUACGAUAUAUAUAUAUAUAUAUAUAUAUAUAUAUAUAUAUNNNNNNNNNNNNNNNNNNNNNNNNNNNNNNNNNNNNNNNNNNNNNNNNNNNNNNNNNNNNNNNNNNNNNNNNNNNNNNNNNNNNNNNNNNNNNNNNNNNNACUAAUUAGUAGACGUACGUAUAUAUAUAUAUAUAUAUAUAUAUAUAUAUAUAUAUAAUUUAAGUAUUAUACUAUUUUUUACAAUAUGUCAGCAUGUUUUACAAAUGAAAAAUUAAGAAAUAUAUACAUACAUAAAUAAAUAAUAUUAUAUUUUUAUUUUAUUUUUACAUUUUCCAACUCUUAAAAAGAGUAUAUUUUUUAAAAGAAAAAUAUACACAACUUAUGUACGUAAUUUUUUUUAUGAAAGACGUGACUUUUUUUUUUUAUAAAACUAUAAUUACUAGUGCAUGCGAGUUACUUUUCAUUUCUUUUAGCUUUACAAUGAUUUUCAAAUACGAUGAUAAAAUCAAAUUCAAUAUAAUUUUUUAACAAAGAAUAAAAUUAAAUAAACUAAAUCGGAUUAUAAUAGAUAUUGAAUAUAAUAACUAAUAUUUUAAUUAUUAUACUAAAUCUCAAUAAAGUUUAAAUCUUAAACCAUAACUUCAAUACAAAACAAUAUUAUUAAUCACAAAAAAAAAAAAUUUAAAAAAAUUGUCACUUGAGUUAAUCAUAAACAUAACAUUUAGUCACUAACCAUGGAUACGAAAACCAUCAGAGCUAUGAUCGUCGUAGUUGAUAUUUAAAUUUUUUAAUGACAUUCCUAAUUAUGACGAUUUUGAAGUUGUUUUUAAUUGUUUUUUUUAAAUGUUGUUAAAAAUGCUUUUUAUAGUAGUGUUUCUCUAGGGUAAAAUAUUAUAACAUUGUUUCUUUAUCUAACCAAGUUAGAGCUUAGAUUUAGAAUAUAGAGUUUAGAAUUUAUGGUCUUUAAGCUACUUAAAUAAUCUAGCUAGAGGUUUUAUGGACGAUUUUGGCUUUUUUAAAAUGGUAUAAUUCGUUAUAUCUCAGUAUAGUAGAAGUCCACAACUCUAAAGGUAAGAAUGUAACUUAAAAAAAGUUGAAAAAUGUUGACUCUAACAAAAAAUUAUGAGCGCACAAUAGUCUAAUAGAUUAAAACAACAAAAGUUAUGAGUGCACAAUUAUGAAUCUAUAAGUUCAAACAAUAAAAUGAACUAUAUGAAUAUGAAAAACCUAAGCACUAAAAGUGUUAAAAAGACUAAAAAGUUUGAAGGCCUAUAAGAGAUUUAAUGAAAUGCUUAAAAAAGAGGUAAAGGAAUCUUUCAAUGAAAGACACGAUGAAGAAGAAUAAGAGGAGCGUUUUGGAGAGUUAAAUGCCAUUUACUUAAAGCGUUGAUUAAGGAGCUUCUUGAUGAAGCAUUUGGUGAACAAAUAAUAAGUAAAAUGUUUCACUUCCCUACUAUAUAAGAAGAUUCCAUAAUAUAAAUACAAUUAAAUUUUUAUAAUAUUUAUGUCAUUUUAUGAUAGUAUGUUGAUCUCUCUAAAUACAUCGAUUAUACAACUAAUUAAUUAAUGAUUUAUACGAAUUAUACAAGUGUCUUUUAAACUUGACACUAGGAAUACUGUGUAUCGGUAUAACUAUUUGCUAUAGUUUUGGAUAUAACUGAUGUCAAAGAUCACUUAAAGGAUUGAUUGAAAAUUUGUAUGAGAACUUAAGAAAAUCAUUCAAAAUCUUUAGUGAAAAAUAUAGAAAGAUCCACUUGAAGUAUGGAAAAAUUUAAUAUGAUAUAGAAAAAAAACAUUCAUUUAGAAUUUGAGAUAAAAAAAAUUAACAAAACAAAACAUGUAAAGUAUACAUUGAAUCCUACACACAAAAGAAUUGAAUUUAUGUUGUAGCUCAAAACUUAACAUUACAAAUAUUUUUGGUUGGAAAAGUAUAUAUACAUAUAUGAUGGAGUAAAUAUUUAAUAUGCUUUAUUCUAAUUUUUUUUGUAUAAGUUUAUGUAAAACUUAUUUAUGUGGAAUUUUAUUUUUUUUUUACUUUAAGAUUUCCAUGAGAUGCUCCAAAUAUAAAGGAUACUCGCUAAUAUAUAUCUUGGUUGAAUCCUUUUUUUUUAUCUCUUUUAAGUGAAAAAAAUAUUGUAGUUUUAAGAGAACAAAUCAUACUUAUGUCUUCACUUUAUUAGUUUACUGAGUAUUUUAAAAUUAAGAUAAGAUUUCUACGUCUAUAAAGAAUCAUAAUAUCUUGGAUCUAACAUAUUAAAAACAAUAAAUUUAUAAAUAUUUUCUUCUUAUAUAUCGUAAAAAUAUAGAAAGUAGUUUUAGACUAAAAGUGAUAUAUUUAAAAUAACACCUAAAUAUUUUAUUAUUAAAGUGAAAAGUGUAUAUAAAUAGAAAAAUCAGUUAUUUAUGUUUCAUUUUAAAAUAAACAACAUCUCUCUAGAAAUUCUCUUUUUCCUUCCUCAUCUUUCUCUCUAACUUUUUGAACUCAUCCUUCAUUAGAAUGAUGAUCAAAGUCCUCCAUUGAACUCAUGACAAGUACAAUAUAUUUUUGCUUUUAAAAGCCUAAUUUAUUAUUGUUUAUUGUUUUUAAGUGAAAUUUUUUAUUUUUAUAUAAAAACAUGCUUAAAAGUAAUUAGUUAUGUGUUUAAGUGAAUUUUGUGAUAUUUUUGGAUUAUUUUAAAAAUCUAAACUUUGGUGUGAUUGAAUAGUAUAUUAAUGUGUGAUAUGAAGUAUGAAAUUAUAUGAAAGAUUAAGACAUAAUAUUUUUAGGAAAUAAAAUAUUGUUAGGAGAGUGUAUUGAUUUGUGAGUAUUUGUGAAAUAGACGACCCUGACUCUACUGAUAUUUUUAAAUCAUAUAGAUGAAGAAUAUCAAGUGGUUAAAGUCAAAGGAGACUCAUCAUGACCCAAUAUAGGUUUGAAAGAACUUAUUAAAGCAUGUCAUAUAAAUUUACCAUUUUAUAUGAAGUGAUUUGAUAUUGAGAUGAAUAUGCUCAUGACUGAGUGAAUUUACAACAGAUAAUAUGAUAUGUGCAGGUCUCUAAGUAUUAAUAGACAAAUUUUCCAAAAAUAGAGUUAAAUAUAUAUAUGUGUUGGUAUAAGUAGAUUUUUUGUAUGAGUGAUAUGGAAUCUAAGAUAAAACUUGUAGACGCUUGACUCUUAUGAAUGAUGAUUUUAAAUAAUAAAAAAUGUAUGAUGAUAAAUAUGUUUAUAAAUUAAAUUUGUUUUAUCAAAGCUUUAUUAAAAAAUUUAAAUUUUUUAACUUACUAUAUUGCUUCUAUUAUAUGUUUUUUUUGUGUGAUAAUGAUGAUAUAUUACAUGAAAACUGAUGAUAUAUUUCAGGUAAUCUAUUCUAUUACAUGUUAGAUAAAUUAUAAUUUUAGAUGUGAUAAAUUACUUUUGUUAUAUAUUUAUUUGUAUUCCAAUAAAAUUGAACCUAUAGAUUUUUCCAACAAUAAGCAUUUAUAAGAAAAGAGAGAAUAUAAGCAUUAUCUGAGGAAGGAAUGGAGAGUUUGGUGAACAUGAUUAUCGGAGAGAGAAGAGAGACGUAUUGAUGCUUCCGAUGAGAAUAGUGUCGGCAUGAUUCCUGCUAUUCUAUGGUGGUCAACGGUCAUUGGUCAUUGGUCAAAUUAUACUGCAACAUUAUUUCCUCUCACAUCACACACUCUUCCUCUUCUCAAAUAUAACAUCAUUCAUUUCAAAUCUAUUCAUCAUUCAUAUUUUUUAUUAUUUCCAUUCAAAUUAUCUUCAAUAAAAAAGCAAAUAUAAAUUCAUAAAUCAAUUUUAUUCAAAAUAUGUUCAACAACAAAGGAUUGCGACUAUCAUAUAAUAUAUAAAUUAAUAGUUAGUCAAGACAAAAUAGUCUUUUUCAUCGUUUAUCCAUUAUCCAUUAAUUAAAUAUAUAUUACUUUAUUGUAAAACAUUUAUCUUCAAAAUAGAUAACAUAUUAAAUAAAAAUUGAUGGUAUUAUUUUAAUGAAUAAAGGAUAAAACACUAAAAUUAUUUUUAAAAAAAUCAAAAUUGUUCUUAUUCUUUAUAAGGAUUAAGAGACUUGUUUUUUCAACUUAUAUAGAAUUAUCAAUUAAGAUAAAAUAGGUGAUAAAAGUUAGGCUCCACUUUAUACUAUCUCAAAUAUAAUAACUAGUGUGACUAAUACUAACUUAAAUUUACAUCAUUAAAUACUUCAUAUGUGAUAUGGUUGAAAUUAAUCCUCCAAAUAAAAGAAUAUAUUUAUGUAGUAUAAUUAAUUUAAUUAUAGUACAAAUAUUAUUUUAAUAUCGAUAUUAGUUUAAUAAUUUUAUGUUAAUUUUUUAUCGAGCAUUAAAGGUCUGUUAACACUCUAUGCAUAUCAAUUAAAAUAAAGAUACACAUUUAACCACUAUAUUCUAAAUAUUAAUUUAGACAUCAAAGUAUUUUUUUUAAAUAAAGGCUAGACCAAGAUAUUUCUGAUCCAUACAAGAACAACAUCAUUUCUUAUAUUUCAAAAAUAAAUUUUCAUCUAAACUAAAUAUAUUAUUUUUGUUUGUCAUUUUUUACUAAAUAGGUAUGGUUUUUGCGUUUUACUAGUAAUUCAAAUGAAAAAUUAUAAUAUAUUUUUAGGAUAUUUGCAUUAAAUAAUAUAUGAUAAAUAUUAAAUAUAUUUUUAAUAGAUAUUUGUAGAUAUUAAGAAUAAAUAUUUUAUUAUUAGACAAGUACAUGUAUCAAGGUAUUUUAUUCUCAAAUAUCUUUGAUAUUUAAUAAGUGAUUUUUAUAUAAAAAGGAAAACUAUUGUUAAUGAAAAAAUACUAGUAAUUCAAAAAUUGUUUAUAAUUUAAUUUUAUAAUUUUAUAUAUUUUUGUUUAAAUAUAUGAAAUUAAAUUUAUUUUUAAAAUAAUAAUUUUAUUUCAAUUCAUAUUUUUUUGGUAUAUUUUAUUAUAUAUCGAGUAUCUAUUUAAAAAAACUUAUAGACAUAAAAUAAUAUUUAUAAGUAUUUUUUUAAAGAAAUAUUCAACAUAUAAUAAAACAAAAAAAUUAUAAAUGAAGGAAGAAAUAAAUACAAUCAAUAUUAGUUCCAACCAGUUAUCAUCCGUAUAUCCAAGAUUCAUAUGAUAGGUUUUAAAAUAGUGAAGCAUUUAACUAAUCUUUUUAAGUUUUUUAUUCAACUAUUUUUCUAUUAGGUAGUACUGUAUGCAACUUUAUACUCCCUUAUGUUUUUUUUUUCAAUAAAAUAAAAUAAAUAUAAUUUUUUUUCUUUUAUUAAUGCAUUUUAAUAAAAAAGUAUUUUUUAAAAGGUAAUUUUAUGAGUACAUAAAUUUAUCAAAAUGAUUAUCUUAUACUUAAUAAAAAAAUAACCAAUAUUGAGUAUAAAUAACUUUAUAUUAUCAUUAAAUUAUAAAUUAAAAUAUAGAAAUAAAUAUUUAUCUUUUAUCACUAUUUUUAAAAUCACAUUUAAACUAACUUCUAAUUGGUUGAUGGAAAGAAUGUUUUUUCAAAAUCAUUUAAUCGCAAACCGUUCUAUAUAAUAAAUUUCAUAAACUUUAAUAUAAUUAUUUUAAAAGUCCAUCAAAUUUAUUAUUUUUUUAUAUAAAAAGUUUUCAUAUUAAUUAUUAUUAUACAAAAUUUAUUAAUUUACGGUCUAAAAGAAAUUCAUUAGCACAACCAUAUGUUUAUUAAUUAAUAUAUUUAUAUAUUAUUAAUAUAAUUAAAUUAUCAAUACAUUACAUCUCUCAAGUUACAUAGAUGGAAACAUAUAAUAAAAUUAACUAAAUAUAUUUGUUUUUAUAUAUUUGUAGUAAGAAAAUUAUUAUAAUAAAUUUUUAGUAAUUUUUUAUUUUUACAUAACAAACAAAUUUCAAGGAUAGAAUAAUAUAGAAUACUUUAACAUUCUAAUUUAUACAAAAUCUUUUUAUUACUUAAAAAAUUAAUAAUAACUUAUUAUUUUAAUAGUUUCUUUAUUAUAAAUAUUCAAUAUAUAUAAAAUUUAAACUGAAAAGUGAAAAUAGAAGUAGGAUUUAUCCUAAAAUUAGAAAAAUAUUUAGUGUAUAGGUAUAUAUUUGAUUAUGAUAAAAAAAAAAAGAGUAGAUAGAUAGAGUGGUAGUGGUAGUAGGAUAUUUAUUUAUGUAAAGUAUUUAUGUAUUUAUGUGUUUAUUUUAGUAUAAUAAGUGGAAAAGUGGGGCCUUGGAGAAGAGACGUAACGUUACAUUUGACUGAAGAAAUUGAAAAAGAAAAGAGAGAGAGAGAUUUGUCGGUGGGGCUAGUGGGCCUGGGGUGGGCUGGGCCCACAGGAAAUAAGAGAAGCAUGUGGGUGUUACGUGGCAAACUGCCAUAACCGACAAUAACCGUGACCUUGUCCUUGCCUCGAGUUCCGUGUUGCUUCCUCCUUUCCUUUGGGACCUCCACUUUUUCAGGUGUCACCACCGCAUUUCUGUCCUCUCAUCAUCACUUCCCUUUUUUUAACACCCCUUCUUUUUUAGUGCUUUUUCUUAUUUUUAACUACUUUUACAUUUCAACUUAAUCCUUUUUAAUUCAUUCAUUCAUUCAAAUAUCUUUUUAUUUUUUAUCUAGUCAAAAAUAUUUAUAAAUCAAUUAUUUAACAUUAUUUUUAAAUUAUUUUAAUCUAGUAUUUUUAGAGACAAAAUCCUUGUUUAUAUAUGUAUCAUAAAUUAAAUUAUUUUACAAUCAUUAAAAUUAUAAUAUCAAAUAUUAUUGAUGUUUAAGUAAUACUUUUAUUAAUAUCAAAUAUUUUCAUGUGAUGAUAGACUGUAAUUGUUCGAAAUAUUAGCCUGAGAUGUCAAAGUUAUAUACUAUGAAAACUUUUAUAAAAAAAAAUUACAGAUUAAAUUACGUACUUAAAAGAAUUAAUUACCUUUAGCUUGAUUGUUUUUUUUUUAUCUAAAUUAUAUUCCAUUUUUAACAUGGAUCUAACUAAAAUUAUGAUUAAAAACUAAUAAAAAUAGUUAGGAAUUUAAAAUUGAUAAAUAUUUACAUGUACUAAAAAUAUAUUUAAAUAAAUAUUAAAAAUUAUUGAUAAAUAAAUAUGUUAGAUGAAUAGAAGAAGGAUGUUAUAUUAUAUGUUAGUAUCUUACAAUACUUUUUUUAUUUUAUCAGUGUUAAACAUAUAAUCAUUAAUUAUUUUUUUUAAGUAGAUAUAAAUGUAUUGAAUUUUACAAAACAAUAUCCUCGUCUUUAUAACUUUUAAAUGUUUUAUUUUUAUUUUUACCAUGUUCAAAAUAUAACACGAUUGAUAUUGAUAAUAUCAUAUACGGUAUCAUCAUAAAGUUUUGUAUGUGUUUGUAUAAUCAUGUUAUUUUAGUCAUUAUUCUACAGUAUUUUUCACUUUUGUUUUCUUAAAUACGUUUUUUUUAAAUCUCCUAGAAAAAUGUGUCCAUACAAAUGUUAUAGUUUACUUUAAUUGAUGUUAAUGGAACCAUUUUAUAGGAUCAAAAUUUGUUAAACUAACAAUUACAUUAUGAUUUUGGCAAUUAAUUCAUCAAAAUUAUAUUUGUUGAACACACUUUUUAUUUUUCCGGCUACAUUUAAUAAUAAAUGUUUAAAAUUUGUUAACCAUGAUUUUUUUUUCUUACUGUAAACGGGAGAAAAUUCAAAAUCCUUUUAAAAUAUUAAUUUUAAUCCUCACAAAAAUUUAAUGCAAUUUUAGUUUAUUUAUAUAUUAAGAGUAAUGUGUUAUUAGUCUUGUAUUAAGAACUAAAUCGUGUGUUUUUGAAUAAUUGUUGAAACCUAAAAUAUCAUAUAAAAUUGUUAUAAAAAUAGAAAGUUGCAUUUUAGUAUUUAGAGGGAUUAAAAGGAUAAAUUACCUUUUCAUCUAAAUCAAAGAUUAAGAUAUUUUAUAAAUUUUCUUGUGGAUUGAGUUUCAAAAGCCCACAGAACAAACACCUAAUCGAAUGGUCCAUAAUGCAAAUAACCCAAACUUAUGAAAAUAAAUCUUUAAACAAUGGAAUAAGAAAGGUGUAAAACAUAGCCUAAAAUUUCACUCUAUAAAUAUUAUUAUAUAUUCAAAAAAUCCUACGUGUACCAUUACUUUGUUUUUUUGUUAGUAUGUGACUUUUUAAUAACUUUUCAUAUAUUAUAUAAUUUUUUUCUUAAAAAAACAACAACUCACCUUACAAGCGUGGCUGUUACAUGUAUUGAUGAUAUUGGAUAAUCUUAUUUAAUAUAGGAUCACAUAGAAAAACUCUAAAAGGACAAACUCCAUGCAAUAAAUUUGAUCUCAAGUGGUUACUUAAAAAGUCAACAAUUUUCGGUAAAAGAUUUGACCAAUCAACAUUAUACAGUCAAUAAAUAAGAUUCUGAAUAAAAAAAUAAAAAAAAUAUUUAAAAACAUCUACAAUUAAGUAAAACUUAAAUAUUAUACAUUUUAUUGGAGUAGGAGGAGGUUUUAACAAUGAGAUGACACAUUGAAAUGUUAUAUUAUCACAAUGCAAAUGGAAAUAACCUUCUUCCGACCUCAAAUCCGAGAGAUAACAUUGUUAAGAUUAAUCAUCAAAUUCAAAAUAUUGUCUGUGUUUGAAGAUUGAUACCCUGUCACGAUUUUUCCUUUAAAAGGCAUCUCGAUAGGUUGGAGGAAAAAAAAUAUUUUUUUAUCAACAAAAAAUAAAUGAAUUAAAAGGAAUACUUUAGGAGUAUCUCAACCCUUUUACAGUAAACACAUACAAGCCUACCACCUAACUUACACACCAAGAACAUUAUAAACAAAACAUAAUAUAAACUAAGGUUUUCUAACGAUUUAAAACAAAACAACGACAUACAUUGCAUAUAGAACUGUGAGAAGAAACCUAGCACAAGCAGAACACACCCCACAAAAUAUUUUUUUUAUCAACAAAAAUAAAUUAAUUAAAAGGGACAUUUAAGGGGUGUCCCUUUUACAGUAAACACAUACCAGCCUACCAUCUAGCUUACACACCAAGAACAUUACAAACGAAACAUAAUACAAACUAAAGUUUCCUAAUGAUUUAAAACAAAACAGCGACAUACAUUGCAUAGAGAAACUGUGAGAAGAAAUCUAGCACAAGUAGAGCACACCUCACGAAAAAACUGCCCUGCUUUAAGUUCCAGAGGUAUUGUUAUGUUAUGACUGAGAAAAAAAGUACAUAAACUGUCAUCACU
rnacentral:lncRNA from 1 species